rnacentral:lncRNA from 1 species
GCGCUUCUGUAUAAAGAGAAAAUGGCAAACUCUGUUGUAAGUUAUCCGAAAUCCGUGCCCCCCCCCCCCCCCCCCGUUUUUUUAAAAAAAACACCGGCCCUUUUGGAUUCCCCCACACCCCCCCCCUGGUUUCCCUUGAAUUUCCUAAUUUUAAUUAAAUUUGGAGAAAAAUAUACAUUGAAAUAAGUGGGGGGGCCCCAAAAGAAAUUUAAAAACCUUUCCUGGAAUAAAAUUUUCCGAAGAAAAUCUAUAUUGCCUAAACCAACCAGAAACCGAGAAAUGGGAUGGAAAAAAAAAAAAAAAAGAAGAAAAAUUUUGGAAAUGAUAUUCCCUAAACCUUGUUCCUUCUUUAAACCAAAGGAGGACCAAACUUUCUUGCUCGCUUUGGGGUUUACCUGGCGGAAUCCCCGGAAUCCAUGUUAGGGACUGGAACUAAGAAAAGUCAAAGUCGAUGGCAGUUACGUAUUCUUAUUCAUUCUUCCACAUUAUAUUCUCUCUAGCUAGCAGCAUGUACUCUGCAAUGAUCCUUACAGGAUGAUCAACUUCAUGUGUUUUAAAUUUUUACGUUUCAAAGUAUUACAGAGCUAUUAUUUUAACGUUAGUAUUUAACUAGAUAAAUUGUUAAAUAUUUUUUAACGAAAACAAAUAAAUGGGAGCUUCAAUGCCGAAACAGAAGCCAUUCUGGCAACGGAUUCCGAAUUUUGUACUUCGGCUUUGGGCAUUGAAGCCCCAAAUAAUUAUUACUUUUAUCUUUUUAGGAGGAUGUAUAUAAGUAUUACUUUUAUCUUUUGGGCAAACUUGAAAAGUUUUGAAAGUGAGGACCUCACUGUCUGAUUUUUUUGAUAUAUGAAUUUUUGGGUUUUCUGCAAAACCACCCCUGUGUAAUCUCGAGUUGCUAAAAAUUACCUGUGUUAAAAAAAUUAGCAAACCCUCCGGGAAUUAAUCAAAGGCAAUAAGGUCCUUAACAGCCUAUCGUGUGCUGCACGCGCGGAUUGUGCGACUGAGAGUGCAUUUUUGACACAAAUAGACCAAAAUACCUGUUAAAUUAUAAAUUUCCAAAAUUACAAAUUCACACCAAAACUCUAUAUGAAGUUUUCAAAAAAAAAAAAAAAAAAAGUUUUCAAAAUUUGCAAUUCAAUCCUUCCCAUUUCCAAAAAGGCCAUCUUAUCAAACGACAAACGUCACCCCAACCGGCAACCAUCUUCACACCAUCUCUGGUGUCUUCCUCAUCGAAAAACGUCACAGAAAGAGUGGGCGGUGUGUUGGUUUGACGGGAAAAUGAAGCAAUUGUACAUUAUCUCCUCUUUUUUCUUUUCUUUUUUUUUUUCGGGAUUUUGUUUUCAAUUUUUUUUUUUGAGGGAUUCAUUUUUUUUUUUGGGUAGAAUAUUUUUAUUUUGCAUUACUUUGAAUUCACGGUAGUUUUGUCAUUUCAUCCAAGUCAAGAGGGAAAAACGAAAAAAGGGCAGUGUGCUGUGUAAAAUAUAACAUAGGAGGGUUUUUGUUAAUUUUUUUAACACAGAGAGUUUUUCACACUGGGUUAUGUGCAAUUAACUCAUGAUUUUUUAGUUGAGCCUUUUUGGUAUUUUCCAUAAAAAUAUCAUCUACAGGUACUGAUGUAGGGAAAAUUACAUUUUUCGUCCUCAUACUUUAACCACUUUUUAAAAAAUGUCCCUAAACAUGUUGGAGUUACAAUAGUAGUCCUUAAUCAUGCCAUUUUUGGCAGAAUUGGUCCGCCGUUAAUUUUUGCAGUUAAGUUGGAUGGAAAAUGGCAUGUGCCUCUCACAUGCCUUCAAUUUAUAAUACUACAUGAAAAUAGACUUUCAACAAGACGCCUUGCGUCUUGUUAAAACAUAUUUUUUAUAAUUAUUAUUUUUAAUUAAAAUUUAAUAUAAAAUCGGAAUCACGUAAAUUCCAAAAAAAUCAACUCGUUUCAGAAAUAUUGUUUAAAAAAUCAAAAUAUAGUUUAAAAUUUUAAAAUAUUGUUCCAAAAUCUGCAUUUUUGGAAUUCAAUUAAAAUAUAUCGUUUCAAACAAAAAUAAAAAAACCCGAUAGAAAUUGGGGAAUUAGAAAUUUCCAUUCCAUUUUUCACCUCUAAUCAAUUCCAAAAAUCCCAAUUGUGAGACAAUAUGUCGAGUUUUAAAUCAUUCAAUAUGGGUGAAAAUUGGAAAGAAGUUUUCAUAUGCUGCCUAAUUUGAUCGAAUUUUUUUUUUUAUUUUGAAAUAAUAUUUUCAUUCAAUUUCCAAAAUUUUAAAACACAAUAUUAUUUUUUAGACAAUAUUAUGAUUUUUUAAACAAUAUUUCUGAAUUUAUUUUGAAAAAAAUAUAUGAAGUUUUAGAUUAUUAAAUAAGGGUGAAAAUUGGAACGGAGUUUUCUUACUCCGCCUAUUACGAUCAGAUUUUUAUUUUAUUUCAAACAAUAAUUUUCAUUUGGAUUCAAGAAAUUCCGGUUUUAAAACAUUAUAUUAUUAUUUUAGACAAUACUUCUAAAAAUAUUUUGUAACAAUUUAUCAAGUUUCACAUUAUUAAAUUAGGGCAAAGAUUGAAAUGGAGGUUUCUUAUCCCGCCUAUUCGGAUCGAAUUUUUAUUUUAUUUUGAAACAAUGUUUUCAUUUGAAUUCCUGAAAUCUUGAUUUUGAAAGCAAUAUUUCACUUUUUUAAAACAAUGUUUCAAUUGUUUAAAGAAUAUUUCUCAAAAUAUUUUAAAACAAUAUAUAUCGAUUUUAUUUUUUUAGAAUUUAUAUAAUUUCGAAUUUCAAUCAAGUUUUAAUUAAGAAAAAUAUGUUUUAACAAGACGCAAUGCGUAUUGUUAAAAGUCAAUUUUCAUGUAGUGUUGUAAAUUGAAGGCACAUGCUAUUUUUCAUCCAACUUAACUGCAAAAAUUAACGGCGGACCAAUUCUGUCAAAAAAUGGCAUAAUUAAGGACUACUAUUGUAACUCUAAAAUAUUUAGGGACAGUUUCGAAAGAGUGAAUAAAGUAUGAGGACAAAAAAUAUAAUUUUCCCUACUGAUGUACGACCACUAAAUGAGUGGACCAAAAUCAAACCUUUAGAUCUCAGAAUAUAUGAAAAGAUUUUUCUUCUCUCUUUUUUUUUUUUGUUUGGAAUGAAAAAUUAUUCUUGCUUGUUGACUCCAGAGAGAAGAGCAAGUUAGAGAUGGCGGCCUAUGCAGCUCUACUCUCUCUCAAGCAUAUCAUCGAACAGAUUCAGGUUCAUCCUCGCCCUCCAAUUUCUCUUCACCAAAACCAGGUGCAUUCUCUCACCGACACCCUCAAUUUCCUGCAAGAUUUUCUUGAAGUUUAUUCAUGUGGCGGCAGCAGCAGCAGCAGAGAAGCAGCAGAUGUCUUGGAAAGCCGCAUUGCAGAUGCAGCUCACGCGGCGGAAGAUAUAAUCGAAACCCGAAUUGUUGAUCAAAUUCUUGGCGAAAAAAUGAGCUCCGAUGAGUUGUAUCAAGAUCUAGAGAAGGUUAUCCAAGACAUGGGUUAUAUCAAGAAAGAAUUGAUGGAGAAUAAAGAGAAGAAUAUUGGAAUAAUCGAAGAUCAUCUGCACAUAAAUUCUUCAACACUUGGUGGUUCAUCAAGUUCUCCUUCAAAGAGGCGGGACGCCGUGGUUGGUCUUGAUGAACUCUUGAUUGAAGUAAUGGAUAAGCUCACGGGACAACAAUCUAAUCUCCGCAUAAUCCCGAUUGUUGGCAUGGGCGGCAUUGGUAAGACUACUCUUGCUAGAAAUGCUUACCUUAAGUUUAUGAAGCACUUUGAUAUUCGAGCUUGGGUUACAGUAUCUCAAAACUACAAUGUGCGAGAAAUUCUUGUAGAAAUUCUUCUUUGUAUAAACAAAGCUGAGAGCCGAGAAACCUUGAGUGCGAAGAGUGAAGGUGAAUUAGGUGUAAAAGUACACCAAAGUUUAUGGGGAAGGAGAUAUUUGAUUGUAAUGGAUGAUGUUUGGAGUGUUGAGGUAUGGGAUAAAGUGAAUCUCUUCUUUCCAGACAAUGGUGAAAGAAGCAGAAUAAUGAUAACCACUAGGCUAUCAAACGUUGCUUCGAUUGGCUCUGGUGGCGUUGUGAUGGAUUUCUUAAAUGAGGAUAAGAGUUGGGAUCUACUGUGCAGAUAUGUAUUUGAAGAAGAAGACGAUUGCUCUCCUGAAUUGGAGGAAAUAGGAAAGAAGAUUGCCAAAAAUUGCGAAGGACUUCCUUUGUCAAUAGUUGUGAUUGGAGGACACCUAGCGAAGUCUAAGCGCACAAAAGAACAUUGGGAAUAUAUUUCAGAAAACUUAAAAAAAAUUGUAAAUUCGGAAGACGAUGAGCGUUGCUUAAAAGUAUUGCAAUUGAGUUAUAACCAUUUGCCGGUACAUCUAAAGCCAUGUUUUCUUUAUAUGGGAGCUUUUCCUGAAGACAAUAAAAUCCAUGUCUCCUGGCUUGUGAAACUAUGGGUUUCUGAAGGUUUUUUGAAACCAAUUAAUGGGAAAAGCUUGGAAGUGGUUUCCAGAGAGUAUUUAGAGGAGCUUUGUGACAGAAAUCUCAUUAGAGUUCAUCAAAGAGGGUCUAAAGGGAGAAUAAAAUAUUGCAACAUCCAUGAUCUCGUGAGGGAAUUAUGCUUGAGAGAAGCGGAGAAAGAGAAGUUCCUUUACGUCAGAAUACCGCAUGACCUUAACAAUGUUCCACAAGGCGUAAUAAAUACCCAACGCCGCAUUGGUAUUCAUCAAAGCACAUCGGAGCCUGAAGCUCUCUAUGCAUUGCAAUCUAUGCCUCUUGUUCGUUCUUUGAUUUGCGAAUUUAAGGGAGUUUUACCAACACUUGAUUUUAGAUUGUUGAGAGUGCUGAAAGCAGUUGAUAAGCAUUUAUAUUCCGAGGAGAAAAGACAAUACAAAUAUCCCAUAGAAGUUGUCUUUCGGCUAUUUAACUCGAGGUUCAUUGCUAUCCGGGUUGACUCGCGUCAAAAUCCCCAGUUUCCUUCUUCGGUCAAUCUCCUUUGGAAUCUACAGACUUUAAUUGUAAAGGAUACCGUUGGCGCUGUUGCACCAUCUGAAAUUUGGAAGAUGACUCAACUUAGGCAUGUUGAGUUCGAUGAACUUGAAAUGCCUGAUCCUCCUCUCGGCGGGCAAGAUGGCGAGUUUGUUUUGGGGAACUUACAGAGGCUCUCUGUAAUAACGAGUUUCAAAUGUGGAGAAGAGGUGGUUACGAGGAUCCCCAACAUCGAGAAAUUAAAAAUACGUUACGAUAAGGAAUUUGAGGGAUGUUCAAGUUAUUGUCUCGACAAUCUUUGUCGUCUACGUAAACUCGAAUCCUUUGGCUGCUCCUUUUUGUCCCAAAGUGUGCCAAACCGGGACGAUAUGUUGCAGAAUUUCAUCCUCCCGAAUUCCCUCAAGAAGUUGACUUUGUGGAGGACCAAAUUCUACUGGGAAGACAUGAAUACAAAUAUAGGUUUGUUACCCAAUCUUCAAGUCCUCAAACUGAGUGCAGAUGCUUGUGUAGGGACCGAGUGGGAAACGGUUGAAGGGCAAUUCUGCAACCUUAGAUACUUGUUAAUCAACUCGUGCAGUGAGCUGGAAUGGUGGACGACAGAUAGCUCCCACUUUCCAUGCCUCGAGCAUCUUGUCCUUCAACAAUUAGAUAAGUUGAAUGAGAUCCCUUCAUGUAUUGGAGAAAUACCUACUCUUCAAUCGAUCGAGUUGAAUCUGUGUCACGACGAUGCUGUCAUUUCUGCUAAAAGAAUAUUUGAUGAGCAAGAGGAUCUUAGCCUUCGAGUUCGAGUUGUCACGCAGAAUCGACAAUUUGAGAGCCUGGCUGGUCCCAACUUUCAAGUUGAAACUUGGUGAGAACUCAAUCUUCACAACAUGGAUAUAUAUAUGUGUGUGUGUGUGUGUGUGUGUGUGUGUGUGUGUAAUUUUAUUUCACUUUUGAUUGUUUUCUUUAACGUUGUACUGCCUUGCAGCAAUAUACUCUGAACAUACACACAGUGCAUAAAUCGAAGAAUGGAGGUCCGAGAGCAGAUUGCUUGUCGCGUUAUUGAACUUAGAUUGACAAUUUGGUAUGUUGGAAUUUACAAUUCAUUGUUUUAAUGUUGAAGAUACCUUCUUUCUGUCAUUAGUUUGGCGUAAGAGUUAUAGCCUCCGGUUAAUUUAUUAGAAGCAUUUGUGUGAGCUUUGUAAACAAUUUCUACUUUGGUUUUCUUUCAUGUAAUUUCUUUUUGGUCCGCCGGUGGAAUUUGGAGUUUCUUCAAAUGUUCGUGUAAUAUUAUUAUACGUAAAUAAAUUGAGUUGAGACUCGAGUUUGUAAUAUUUUGCCUUUAUUUAAAAAUCUUAAAGGAUUUUGAUUCUCUAGUGCGAAGACUUCUCCAACGCAACACUCAAAACUCAAAAUAUUUUUCUUAGGAAGUAAAAGUAAAAUUGUACUAAAUGAUGAGUUGGCACUUUAGAGAUUAUCAAGAUGACUCUCCAAUUUCAAAGUGUCGUCUUAAAAAUCUCAAAAAUCACAAGUGCCACCUCAUUGCCACGUCAUAUUUCAAAAUAUCUUAUGUGGCACUCUAAAUAUUAGAGGUGGAGUUUACCAUCGAAGAUGCUCUAAGCCACAUACACUUGGUUGGAGAAAAGUGUUUACACAGUACGUGGGCAGUUUUGAUUUUAUUUGUAUACAAAGAUGAUUAUCGUCCAAUAAAAGUCACUUUUAAAAUAUGGUUUUCAUUUUUUUUUUGUCAUCCCCAUAAACAGUAGUUAAAUCAUUAGUUCCGAUUCAUAGGUGGCGAUCACAAACAUGUAAGUAAAAGUAAAAGUUGGUGAUUGUGAGUAAAAUUAUUUAUUAUCGGGAAAAAUACAGUCUUUGUGCCUCAAGUUUGCACCGAUUUCACAUUUGGUUCUCAUGUUCACAAAAAACACAUUUGGUCAUUUAUGUUGCAAAAAUUCAACACUUUUAGUCAUUUUCAUCAAUUUUCCGUUAAAACUAAUAGAAACAAGCAUGUGUCCAUCACUGUCUAACUAACGGACUAACGGUAAAUUGACAGAAAUGACAAAAAAUGUUAAAUUAUUGGAAUAUGAGGGACCAAAUGAGUUUUUUUGUGAACAUGGGGAACCGAAUUUGAAAUCGAUGUAAACUUGAAGUAUGAAAACUAUAAUUUCCCCAUUUAUAAUCAAUUCUAAAAAAGCUUUUGCAAACACCAAUUCGAACAUCAAUACCUUAUGGGCGAGGGCACACCGGAUAAAUUGACUUGAUUGAAGCCUAAUUGUGGCCCAAGAAAGAGUGGACAAAGAAUUGUAUUCCAACUAUAUAUAUGUGAUCACCAUUUGAUCCGAUGAUGACCUUCAUUCGAUACUAUCACUUUACGUAAUUUCAACUUUCAAGAAAGUGUGGUUCGAUUAAAAAUCACGAAUUUAUAAUGGCUAACUAUGUCUGACAUGUAAGCUCGACCUAGCAAUUGUCGGCAAAGUUUAAAUAUGGGUCAACUAAUUACUGACACAUGCUCACUUGCUCCAACUGCUAAAUUAUCAUCUAUAGGAAAAGAAAAAGAAAACAUAAAUUGUGUGUGUUUGUUUGGAUAGUUUCAUAAUACACACUACAACUUCAUUUUUAUUCUGAGUUAUUAUGAACAUUACAGUAGAAUGAUAAAUAUUUUAAAUAGUGUCAUUUGAGAAUUAUCUUUUAAAUCAUCUGGUCAAGUGAAAAUAAUUUUAUGGAAAUACAAUCUCAUUUUCGUAACCUCGACCCGAAAAUUAAAAAAAAUUAUAGAAUUUGCGAGGAAAUAAUGUUCAUCUUUGAUAUCAAUAAUGCAUAUGGCCUCAACCGUUUGGGACUGUAUUUUCAUUCCGAUUUUCGAAGUUUCGAUUUUUUAUUCUUCCAAAUUUAUUUGGAACGGAAUUGAAGUGGUAUAUAAAAUUGCCGAAAAUUCCGUUUUCUGAUUCGAUUUUAAUUAUGAAUAUUUCUAUGAUUUUACGAAAUAUAUAGUAUACUUUAUGAUAUUUGGAAUUCCAAAAUAUAACUUAUGUUAUAUGAAAAAUAUGAAUAGCGAAAUGUCAAGUAAAUUAAAAUCUUAGAAAAAAUUAAUUGGUAGUGAUACAUUUUAUGUUGCAUUUUUCCUUAUAAGAAAAUCUAUGUUUUAUUAUAAAUUUUAUGUUGCAUUUUUCCUUGUAAGAAAAUCUAUGUUUCAAUUUGUUGUUCAUACAUUUGUUUUUACUAGUAUUUUCACUUGUGGUUGGGUGCUGCCGUUUGAACGUGACCGGCGUUCGUUUUUCCGAGGGCUGAAAGAAUUUGUGGGAAAUUCGUGGGAUCAGACUUGGGAUAUUUUGGGUUUCGAUGAGGUGCUGGUGCUCAAGCACAGUCGAAGACGGUGGCAAGACAAGUGGAAAGCUGAAGCCGAUGGUGUCGGUUCGACGAGGGCGUCGAACACCGUUGGUGGGGGAGGUCUGUUACCCCCUUAAUCGGUGAUAUCGGUAAUGACUCGAGUGUGGCCGAGUCAUGACCGAUAAAUGGUGCCAAGUGGGGAUUGGCACAAGGCAGCCACACAAUCGGCCAAUGAGUGGUCGAGAGAUCGGCAAGCAUUCGGGGUGUUUGACCGAGAAAGCAAGGAUCGGCUUGAUUCAAGUGGGAACGGUGAUCGAUAUUACUUGUGGCUGGCACGGGCGUUGCUCGGCAGCAAAGUCGGACAAGCGUGGGCAGUAUUCGGCAUGCGGCCGAUAACGUGGGCAAACGAACGUUCGAGGGAAAUCGACCACGACUUGACAAGUGUGGGCAAAAUUGGCAAGGCAAGCAAGGCAGCCCGAUGAGCGGGCGUGCCGAUGACCGUGUGGGCAAAGAACUGGCAAGUAAUCGGUAAAGGGAAGCAAAAGUGCGGAAAAGGCAAGGCAGAUGGGCUGCCUAGCAACCGGCCGGGCUGUUUGGGCCGUUUGGCGCGCGUUCGCGGGCUCGUUCAAGUUGGGCUUCGGAAAUCAGCCUUGUGGGCGGAUUUGAGGAAGUUACGGAGCGGUUGAGGCCUGGAAAUGCAUAAAAACUGCCCCUUAUUACUUGUAAUAGUUAGCCAAGUGUCAUGUUUGUAUGCUGCCAUGUGUCCUUAGGUAGUUUUGUGUGAAAACUACCUUUUCUUUGUAUUUAUUUGGCUAUGAGUGCACAAAUCCGAGGCAUCUAGUAUCAUCUAGCAUAUGAGAGUUCAGAUUGCAAUUGUUGGGCAAUUCUGAGUGAGGAUUUUGUGUGUGCACCUUAGUCUCCUUUGUAUUUAUUGUGGGAAUUAAUAUAAAGGUUGGGCAUUGCCCGUAAACGUGCUUGUGUGUUUGUUUUCCGCUGCAUACUCUUGUGUUCGUUUACGUUGGCUUGAAAAGACUUGUGUUGUGCGUUUGUGCGAAGAAAAUCGUGAGGAAGGCUGACUGGUUUGGUGGGCAAAUCAGGCCGUACGGUGGGAAAAUUUCGGUGAUAAAUUAACCCCUGUAACAGAAACCUCCCUUGCAUUGUGACAAAGAUGCACCAAACCCCCUUGUGUUGCUAAAUAAUUGCAUAAAAUCCCAUCAAUAAUUAAUUGAGUUAAAAGUUAACGGAAUAGGGAUUUCAUAUAAGAUAAAAUAAAACAUAAAAAGAUUGUACGUAAUAAAAUUAGGGAUAUAGUGCAGAUUUUUCAUAACACAUGGGGGUUUUAUGUUGUUUAAUUACCGAAAUACUAUAUGCGAACUUAAAAAUAUACACAUUUUCAAACAAAGACUAUUGACAGUCAACCAAAAGAAUUGAACUUUUAAGAAAAAGUGUGAAAUCCAAUUGAUCUAAAUCUCAUUUUAUAUAUAUAUAUAUAUAUAUAUAUANNNNNNNNNNNNNNNNNNNNNNNNNNNNNNNNNNNNNNNNNNNNNNNNNNNNNNNNNNNNNNNNNNNNNNNNNNNNNNNNNNNNNNNNNNNNNNNNNNNNUCGAGGCUAUUAGGAUGAUAAGCAUCUCUCAAUCUUUAACUCUAUCUCUUUUUCACAGUUUUUCUUUUUUAUUUAUUUUUUGAAAUUUUGAUUGAGCGUUCUUCAGGGGGACAAGUAUAUAUAUAUAUAUAUAUAUAUAUAUAUAUAUAUAUAUAUAUAUAUAUAUAUAUAUAUAUAUAUAUAUAUAUAUAUAUAUAUAUAUAUAUAUAUAUAUAUAUAUAUAUAUAUAUAUAUAUAUAUAUAUAUAUAUAUAUAUAUAUAUAUAUAUAUAUAUAUAUAUAUAUAUAUAUAUAUAUAUAUAUAUGUUGGUGCUCAGUAUUAAUUCGACAUUGCCCUUCAAGCUUCCCUGCCGAUUGGUAUGAUAUCUCCAGCACUAAAGCUUAAUGUACAAAAUAGAAAUUGAAAGGGUGUUCAAGUGCGUAUUGUAUGUAUUAAUGCAUUUUAUGGUAUGAUAUGAAUAUGAAUUUAAAUGGUUAUAAUUUAAACGGUUAUGUUUUCUUUUUGCAGACAUGCUUCUUUUAUGUUCACGAACCGAAUUGAAUUGAGUUAUACAUAUAACAAUUAGAUAUAUAAUAAUUAUAUUUAAGUAUUAAUUGAGUUACCGAAUUGACCUCCAUAUUUUACAUAUCAAAAGGUUAUUUUUGUCCACACAAAAAAGGGAAGAAACCCCUACCUUAUUCCUCCUUUUAUAGAUAGUAUAGAUUUAUUGCAUUUUGUCGAACUAUUUUUUGGCAUUCCUUGCAUUUUAUGCAAAAUUUCAAAAGGAUAGAAAAAUAUUUUGAAAAUUUCCAUUACAUCCGAAUUUGGAACAAGAGAUUACAAACUAAUGUAAUUUCCAAAAUUUCCGAAAUUCCGUGAUCCAGAGGUACUCCGACAUCGGAAUGAAUUUUUGCAUUCCAAUUUUUUGGAAUGGAAAUUGGAAGGGAUAAUUACCGUAUUGGUCCCCCAAGUUUGCACGUUUUUCACUUUUGGUCCCCCAUUUACCGUCGUCAACAAAAUAUACACUAAUGUUGUCACAUUUAACACAUUUAGUCCCUUUGUCUGUUUGACCGUUAAGAAAUAACCGUCAACGGUUGAAUUUGGGGUUUUUCUUCGAGAAAAUUGCAAUAAGACCCAUGUAUUAUUUCAAAAUAUUCUAAAAACCCCUAAAAUUUUAUCCAACUAUAAUUUAACCCCAAUUUCAUCAAUUAACCAAUUUUAACCAAUGACCCCGAUUUUUCAAACUCGGUUAAUCCGACGUUGACUUUCUUUUUAACUCGGUUGACUCUUUUUUCGAUUGAUCUUUUUUUGCCGUUGUUGACCGAUGUUGAAAGUCGGGUUAUGAUCGUUAAUAUUUUUUUUCUUGAUUUUUAUUUAAAUUGUUGAGUAGUGGGAAAAAUAUAAUUUAAAAAAGAGAGUCAAAUAUGAUAAUCGGCGAGAAAAAUAAUACCAUAAAAGAAGUCAAAAUAAAAGAAAAAGGGAAAAGUCAACGCAACUCAAUGACAGAGGAAUUUUAAGAGAGAAAUUAACGGCCGGUGUUAGCCCCAAAAACAGUUGUACUAGUCAGGGGCGGUACGUGCAAGGGGCAUGGGGGGCUGUUGACCCCCCAAGAAAAAAAAAAUGUUUUUUUUUAUAUUUGGUAUUUAAUUUUUUGAAUAUUAUUUUUGGCUCCCCCAAAGUUUUUGUAAAUAUAUGUCUUAAUCCAUUAUUUUUUUAGUUUCUUCUCCAUAAUCUUAUAUAAAUUAUAGAUAAAUAUAUCAUAUUUAAUAUAAAAUAUAAAAUAAGAUGCUUAAAACUUGUAUUAUUUUAAAUAAAAUUUAUGAAUAUUACUUAUUUUUGAAUUUUUUUUUUGUCAAUGCCUUGAGAUCGUGCCAUGAAUCCCCGAAAUAUUAAAUGCAAUACAUUAUUAAAAUAAUUUGAAUUCACUUAGAAUUUUCUUAUAAUUAUAAUAUCCCCGGAUCCCAAAAUUUUAGUUAGGCCCCCCUACAUUUUGAACCUGGUUCCGCCACUGGUACUAGUGUGGUUAUCUCAUUUCCAAAUUACUCCGCACAUGCCUAAUUCAUCUUCUUCAUAUUUUUUGGAAAGAAAUUUGGGAUGCACUGGCGGUUCCACGAAGAAAAAACGAGGGGAAGAAAUUUUGAAUUUUAGAUUUUUUUUUUAAAUUGUAUUUAGGCCCCUGAAUUUUAGAUAAAAACUUUGUUAGAAGUUUAUAAUUUUAAUAUUACGAUACUAGAUAUUAAUAUAGUAUUAUUAUUGUUUUAUACAGUAAUAAUAUUGUGUUGAUCAGAAAAAAAAAGUCACAGGAAAAAGUUCAAAAAAAAUCAAGAAAAAUAAAAAAAAGUCAACAUUGUUAACCGAGAAUACAAUGUCGGUGAACAACGUCAAAAACGGUAUUUACAAAAAAAAUCAAUGCCGAAACAAAAAGUUCAAAAAAUCAACGACGGGCAGCGGUCAGCGGUAAUGGUGGUAAAAAUCGUGGUAGUUUUUCAAAAUUGAUUAAAUGAUGAAAUUGGGGUUAAAUUAGGGUUGAAUAAUAUUUUAGGGGUUUUUAGAAUAUUUUAAAAGAAUUCAGGGGUCUGAGUGCAAUUUUCUCAAUGAAAAAUCCCAAAUUCAGCCCUAAUUCAACAGUUGACCGUUCGUUACUUCUUGACGGUCAAACGGACAGAUGGACUAAAUGUGUUAAAAUGUGACUAACAUUAAUGUGUAUUUUGUUGACGGCGGUAAAUAGGGGACCAAAAGUAAAAAACGUGCAAACUUGGGGGUCAAAACUGUAAUUAUCCCGAAAUUGGAACCCAUUUUUACCUUUAAAAAAAUUUGAAAAUUUUCCAAAAAAAUCAUUUCUGAUCCAUUAUGUCCGAUUUCUAUGCAUGUACAACCACUAAAUGAGUGGACCAAAAUCAAACCUUCAAUUGCCAGUAUAUAUAUGAAAAGAAACAAUUUUUUGUUUGGAAUGAAAAAUUUAUUCUUAGAGAUGGCGGCCUAUGCAGCUCUACUCUCUCUCAAGCAUAUCAUCGAACAGAUUCAGCUUCAUCCUCGCCCUCCAAUUUCUCUUCACCAAAACCAAGUUGAUUCUCUCACCGACAACCUCAAUUUCUUGCAAGAUUUUCUUGAAGUUUAUUCAUGCGGCGGUGGCAGCAGCAGCAGCAGCACAGAAGCAGCAGAUGUCUUGGAAAACCGCAUUGCAGAUGCAGCUCAUGCGGCAGAAGAUAUAAUCGAAACCCGAAUUGUGGAUCAAAUUCUCGGUGGCGAAAGAAUCAGUUCCGAUGAGUUGUAUCAAGGUCUAGAGAAGUUGAUCCAAGACAUGGGUUUUAUCAAGAAAGAAUUAAUGGAGAAUAAAGAGAAGAAUAUUGGAAUAAUCGAAGAUCAUCUGCACUUAAAUUCUCCCACGCUUGGAGGUUCGUCAAGUUCUCCUUCAACGAGGCAGAACGCCGUGGUUGGUCUUGACGAUCUCUUAAUUGAAGUAAUGGAUAAGCUCACCGGACAACCAUCUAAUCUCCGCAUAAUCCCGAUUGUUGGAAUGGGCGGCAUUGGUAAGACUACUCUUGCUAGAAAUUCUUAUGCUAAGCCACUCAUUAUGCAUCACUUUGAUAUCCGUGCUUGGGUUACAAUAUCUCAAAACUAUAAUGUGCAAGAAAUUCUUAUAGAAAUUCUUCUUUGUAUAAGAAAAGACGAGAGCCGAGAAAUCUUGAGUUCGAAGAAUGAAGGUGAAUUAGGUGAAACAGUACACAAAAAUUUAUGGGGCAGGAGAUAUUUGAUUGUAUUGGACGAUAUUUGGAGUGUUGAGGUAUGGGAUAGAGUGAAUUUUUUCUUUCCUGACAAUGGUCAAGGAAGUAGAAUAGUGAUAACCACUAGGCUAUCAAAUGUUGCUUCGAUUGGCUCUCGUGGACUUGAAAUGAAUUUCCUAGAUGAUGAUAAAAGUUGGGAUCUACUGUGCAAAAAUAUAUUUGAGAAAGAAGAAGACUGCCCUCAUGAAUUGGAGGAAAUCGGAAAGAAGAUUGCAAAAAAUUGCAAAGGACUUCCUUUGUCGAUUGUUGUGAUUGGAGGACUCCUAGCAAAUUCCAAGCAUACAACAGAACAUUGGAAAUAUAUUUCGGAAAAUUUAAACUCGAUUGUACAUUUAGAAGACAACGAGCGUUGCUUAAAAGUAUUGCUUUUGAGUUAUAACCAUUUGCCGGUACACCUCAAGCCAUGUUUUCUGUAUAUGGGAGUUUUUCCCGAAGAUAGGAAAAUCCAUGUCUCCUGGCUCGUAAAAUUAUGGGUUUCCGAAGGAUUUCUGAAACCAAUUAGCGGCAAAAGCUUGGAAGUGGUUUCGAGAGAGUAUUUAGAGGACCUUUGUGACAGAAAUCUCAUUAGAGUUCAUCAAAGAGGGUCUAAUGGGAAAAUAAAAUUUUGCAACAUACAUGAUCUCUUGAGGGAAGUAUGCUUAAGAGAAGCUGAGAGAGAGAAGUUCCUUUACGUCCCAAGAAAGCAUAGCCUCAACAUUGCACAAGGCAUAAAUACGCAACGCCGCAUUAUUAUUCAUCAAAGCGAAUCGGAGACUGGAUAUCUCCUUGACGUCCUGCAAGUGAACAAUACGUUGAUAUCUGUGCCCCUUGCCCGUUCAUUGAUGUGCAAAUUUAUGCUUUUACCAUCACACCCCGGAUCUAAUUAUAGAUUGUUGAGGGUGCUGAAAGUAGUUGAUAAACAUUCAUAUUCUGGCUAUCAUGCGUCAGAUUCCAUAGAAGCUGUUCUUCAGCUAGUUAACUCGAGGUUCCUUGCCAUCGGAGCUGAUUGGCAGAAUUUCAGAUUUCCUUCUUCAGUGUAUCUCCUUUGGAAUCUACAAACUUUAAUCGUUAAGGAUAUGUUUUACGCUGUCGCACCAUCCGAAAUUUGGAAGAUGACUCAACUAAGGCACAUCGAGUUCGGUCUACUUGAUCUGCCUGAUCCUCCUCUUGGUGGUGACGACGACUCUGUCUUGGGGAAUCUACAGACGCUCUUGAAAAUAAGAAAUUUCAAAUGUGGAGAAGAGGUAGUUAAGAGAAUCCCCAACGUCAAGAAAUUACAAAUAUGUUAUCUUGAGGAAUUCGAGGGAUGUUCAAGUUACUCUCUCAAUAAUCUUGUCCGUCUACAUAAACUUGAAUCCUUUAGCUGCUUCUUUUAUUCCCAAAAGAAACCACACCGGAACGAUUUGCUGCGGAACUUGAUCCUCCCGAAUUCCAUCAAGAAGUUGGCUCUGAGGGGGACCAAUCUAUACUGGGACGACAUGAAGACAAAGAUAGGUUUGUUACCCAAUCUUCAAGUACUCAAACUGCAAUAUAAUUCCUUUGUAGGACCCGAGUGGGAAACCGUUGACGGGCAAUUCUGCAACCUAAGAUUCUUGCAAAUCUACACGUGUAGUGAUCUGGAAUGGUGGACAAUGACAGACAGCUCCCACUUUCCACGCCUUGAGCAUCUUGUUCUCUGUAACAUGGAUAAGUUGAACGAGAUGCCGUCGUGUAUUGGAGAAAUACCUACGCUUCAAUCCAUUGAGUUGAAAAAUUGUAGCGACUCAACUAUCAUCUCUACUAGAAGAAUAUUGGAGGAACAAGAGGAACUCGGCAAUGUAGGCCUUCGAGUUCGAGUUAUCUUAUUCAAUCAAGAACACUUGGAGAGCUUGGCUAGUCCCAAUUUUCAAAUUGAAGAAUCUCGGUAAGAACUAGUCUUCAUUGAUUAACAUCAAGCUUCUUUUAUUGCUUUGAUAAAUCAUGAAAGGAUAUAUAGUAUUUCUCUUCCUAGUUUUGUCAAUUAUAAUUUGGGUAAAAUAAAACCAACCCCUGAGGUAUGGUAAAAUUACGAAAACCCCCAUUCUGUUUGGGUAAUUACAACAACCCCUUAACUAUAAAUUUUCUUACACGUCCAUCCUCGCAGUUUCAAAUUUAGUGGAAUCUUCUUGAUUAUAUGGAAUAUUAUCACUUUUGUACCCGUUUUAUCCAAUUCGAGCUCCACAUUUUGAAGCAAGAUGAUCAUAAGAUGUGUUUUUUGACUUGUAUAUAUAUCAGAUUGUGGUGCAUCAGAAACUGUAUAUUUACACACAACGAGUAUAAACUAGAGCACAUUCCACGGAAUCUAGUUGAUUAUGUUGAAUUUGACACCAUAAGGGUGGAGGUGUAAGAAGAUUCAUAGUUGAGGGGUAGAUGUAAUUAUCCAAACAAUAUGAGGUUUUUCGUAAUUUGAUCAUACCUCAGUAGGGUGGUUGUAAUUUACCAUAAUAAUUUGGGCAAAUUACCAAAACCCCCCUGAGGUAAGUCUGAAUAACAAAAAUUCCCCCCACGUUCUCGUAAUUACGAAAACCCCCCUGAGGUAUGCAGACAUCAUACAAAUCGCUCUAACGGUGUUAAACUCGAUAGAAUCUUUUUGAUUCUCCAGAAUAUUCCUCCGAUAAUACCAAUUUUGCCCUUGUACACGAAAUUACCCUUAGGGGGGUAAUUGUAAGCAUUUUAUUUAAUGAGGGGUCAAUAUAUAAGUGUCUGCAAAAUACUUAUUUUUCUUAAAUUAAACCCAAAUAUAAUCAAUCAUUAUGAAUGUACAAUGUAUUUUUAUUGGAUUAAAAAAAUCAAUGAAUGAGAUUUCAAAAUUUAAUUAUUUUUAUAUAUAAAAUUAAAUAUUUUGCAAUUCGAGAAAUACAACCAUCAUUCAAGCUAAAAGCAUAAAUCCGUAUGAACACUCCUCUGGAUAAAUAAAAUCAAUUAAGAUAUAUAAAUAUUAAAAAAUAAAAAAUUUAUAAUAUCAAAUUAUCAAUACAUCUCCCCCAAAGCAGAACUGUAGCCAUGGACGAAAAAUCGUCGUCCAAAAUCACGAUAUCGGAGCUCUCCUUCGCCACCUCAGUGCCUUGGAUUCCCAUCGAGAGUCCCACAUCGGCUUCUUUUAAAGCAGGGGCGUCGUUCGUUCCGUCGCCUGUGACCGCCACCACAUUUUCAGCUUUUUUCUUUUAUUUUCAUAUAUUUAACAGAAGGAAUUACGAGAACGUGGGGGGAUUUUCGUUAUUUAGGCUUACCUCAGGGGGGUUUUGGUAAUUUGUUUUUUUUUUCUUUUAUUUUUCACAUAUUUAACAGAAGGAUAUAAUUGACAUUUCACCUUUUCGGUUAAAAAAAUUCGGUCAACCGUUAGUCAAGGGGGGUUUUCGUAAUUACGAGAACGUGGGGGGGAUUUUCGUUAUUUAGGCUUACCUCAGGGGGGUUUUGGUAAUUUGCCCUAAUAAUUUUGUCAUUUCAAUUUGAUAACAUGGGGUACCACCUUACAGCAGUACACAGUGAGUUAACCUACAUGCGGAACAUAAAUCGGAAAAUGGAGGUCCGGGAGCUGAUCGCUUGUCGAGUUAUCGAGUUCAGAUUGACAAUUUAAUCGAUUAGAUUGUUGUUACGAUUCGGUCCGAACCCGAUCGGUGAAUAAAGUUCCUUUUUUUUUCUUCUCUUAUAUAAAUAUAAAAUCAUAUAAACCCGUAUUUCCGAGAUCUAAAUAAUCAUCAUUUGAAAUAAAAUGCAUACAUAAAAUUGGUGUAUGGGAGAGGACAAGAGAGAUCCUAUCUCCGAUGUGAAGAAGACAUAAUAAUUAAUCACACGAAGCACCUAAAAUGGAGAGUGAAAAUCGGAACUGAAUUUUCAAAUUUCACCAAUUCCAAUCCGAAAAAUUUCAAUUUUCAAACACGAAUUAGAAUUAUUAUUUUACUUUCACAAAAUAAUAAUUUAUAACUGUUUCCAAAAUGCUAGUUUUGAUCCGAUCCAUCCGAUUUCCACCCUUAUCUUUAAAAUAGUUAAUUACUUGUUUUGCAAUAAAAUGGCAAGUUUUCAUAGCAAUUAUUGUCAGCUGAUUUAUGUACCGUUUGAUAGCAAUAAAAUGCAAAUUUUCAUUUUGAUUUUGAAUUCAAAAUAAAAAUCAGUUUGAUUUUGUUUUGAAACAUGAUUGAAAUUAUUUUUCAAUUCCGAAAGAAUUAGAAAACUUAAAAAAAGUGCUAAUUUUGAUCUUAAUUAAUGGUUCGAUCUCCACCUCUAGUUAUACCCCGUGUUGGUUACGAAUGCCCCCGUAUGGGACUACGGAGUUUAUUGCAUUAAGUAUCACUAUGACUAUGUUAUAUGGAAUUCUAAAAAAGCUUUUGCAAACACCAAUUCGAACGUCAAUACCUUAUGGGCGAGGGCACAUCGGAUAAAUUGACUUGAUUGAAGCCUAAUUGUGGCCCAAGAAAGAGUGGACAAAGAAUUGUAUUCCAACUAUACAUACAUAUAUGUGAUCAACAUUCGAUCCGAUGACCUUCAUUAGAUACUAUCACUUUACGUAAUUUCAACUUUCAAGAAAGUGGUUCGAUUCUAAAUCAAGAAUUUAUAAUGGCUAACCUAGCGACCGUUGACAGAAGUAUUUGAAUCUGGUUUAAUUGAUUACUAACACAGGCUCACUUGAUCCAACCGCUAGGUCAUCCUUUGCGGGAAAAAAAGAGAGUAAAUUGUGUGUUUAUUUGGAUAGUUUCAUAAUACAUAUAGUAGAUUAUAAGUCACAUUACGUACGACUUCGUUUUUAUUCUGAGUUAUUAUGAACAUUAUAGUAGAAUGAUAAAUAUCUUAAAUAGUGUCAUUUGAGAAUUAUCUUUUAAAUCAUCUGGUCAAGUGUAAAUAAUUUUAUGCAGAUACAAUCUCAUUUUCGUAACCGCGACCCAAAAAUUAAAAAUAUUGUAGAAUUUGUGGGGAAAUAAUUUUCAUCUUCGAUAUCAAUAAUGUAGAAGGCAAAACCGAUUGGAAAUAACAUGGCUAUAUAUUAAACUCGCGAUUACAAUUUUUUUGACCUUUACAUACAAAGGAACUAACAUUCUCGUUUAUUGUUGUUUUCUUUUUUAUAUUGCGAAUAUAUCGGGAAAAUAUUGUGUAAUAAUCUUGCUUCUUUUUAUAGUGUUUGGUAGCUCGAAGGUCGCCAAGGAUCCCCGUUUGCCAUAUCUUAUGUCAAUACGACCGACCGAAAAAAAUAAAUCAAUAAAAAUAUAUAAAAAUAUAUAAAAAUAUCUAUAGAAAUGUUCUAUUUUCCAACUUGGGAAUCUCAAGCCUUCCAUUUGCUACACAACUUGUGCAAAAUUAUCUGCAUGUCUAUCUCCAGCAAUUUGUCUACAUCUACUUUCUUGAUUUCCUAUUUAUAAAUAAAAUUGAAAAUAAAGUUAUUUAUUUAUUAUGUAUAUGAAAACUUAAUAUAUCAUAUAUGCAAAAAGAAAAUUAAGAUAUUUUGGACUAAAAAUAUGUGUUAUUCUCAUCAUGCAACCCUAAUUAUUGUUAACAUUAAUUUACUUAUUGUUAACAUUAAUUAGGUACAUAUAAUAUUUUCCAGAGCUCAAAUAAAAAAAUAACUUGAUUGGCUUUAUUAAAUUAACUAGCUAGUCAAUCAUAUGAUUGUCAAUUAAAUAUGUAAGUCCACAUUGAAAAAUAAAUAAAUAAAUAAAUAAAAUUAACCCAACAAAUAAGCCAAGAAACAAACGAGGAAAACCUACAAGGGAAUCCAUUAUUUCUCAGAAAUAUCCUCUCUGUGAAUAUUGUGAGGUGAUUGGUCAGAAAAAUAUUCGAGAAUUAAUCUUACCACUUCUGGUUCUGGAGUCGUUUCUAUUGGCUUUAGGAGGAAAAUAUAGUUAAACAUCUAUACAUUAUUACAAUCAGAACUAAUAAAAUUCUAUUAAUUUAACGAAAUAUUAAAUUAUCGAACUAAAUAAUUUAAUAUGUUUUUAUCAAGUCGGGACUAGAAGAAAUUAUUAUUUAAACAAUGUUAUUAAUUUAUCAAUUAUUAAUUUAUCGAGGUUGUUCUGCAGAUGCUUGAACACUGAUUAUUAGCUAGCAUAUUAGAGGCCACAAGUUGUUGGUAGAUUCUCAUAUUCCCUAAUUGCAUCACAUUCUUUAUUCUACAACUUAUAAGUUUUCAACAUAAGCAUACUAUAAAUGCUUGUAAAUAUUCAAAAUGGUAACAAUCCAUCUCAUACUUUUCUGUCACAUAGUAAUUAUGAACUAAUUACUUUCUAAUUAUUGAGGAACUUUUGAAUAUAAUUGAUUAGCAUUUGGUGAUGCUUUGACUAUAGAUUAAUGCUUUGGAUAAUAAUUACAAAACUUCGUUGACCAUUUCAUAUCAUAUUAAUCCAUUAACUUCAUAAUGAGAGGUGGUAGCAUUUUAGAGCUAUUAUUUACUUUACUCCCAAUAAUUUUUUUAUUCUUUUUAAUGAUAUUAUUUACUUUUCUUUUUUCAGUAAAUAUUUUAGCAAUACAGUUAAACCUCUAUAAAUUCAUGCACUUAGGACCAACAUAACCUUAUUAAUUUAGCGAUUGAUGGGUUUCGAUUCUUUUUUUUCCCUUCGUUCCUAUUUAUUCAUGAAAUAACACGAUUAAUAUUUAUACUAUUCUCAUUAAAAUUGUAAAAUAUUUUCUUGAUGCGAUACUUUUAUUUUGCAAAUUAUGCGGUCAACCCGGGUUUUAUAAAAUAAAGAUGAAUUUCAAAUAAUUAACCUCAUGAUAUAUAUUUUUUCUUUCGAAAAUAAGUUAAAUUAGACGAUAAAUUUUUUAUGUAAUUUAAAAGAGUAUUUAAUAAUUUAUAUAGCAUUAAAAUAUGAAAAAAGGUAUAUUUGAAAAUUAUAUGCGAGUAGCAAUAAAGAGAACCUGAUCCACUCGUCAAUUUUUAGUUUGUGAUUGUGACCAUGAAAACGUGUGCGAGCCAUUUGCUGAACCGAGUCACUGAGUUCUCUGACUUUGAAAUUUAACCCAGUCACAAUUCGCGUUUUUUUCGAAUAAACCCUAACCAAAAGCAUAUUUUGCAAUUUUAGUCCCUCAACUAUUGGUUAAAUAUAUUUUCGGUCCAAUAACUUUUGAUGUCCGAUCUCUUAAUGUUAUGAUCAAUUGUAUAACAUUUGUCUAAUUAACCUUUUCUUUUUUUAUUAAAACUAAUAAAAUUGAUUGAACUGCAACCAACCAUAUAUGUGCACUGGGUGAAUAGUACAAUAUUUAGCAAACCACAUGAAAAGCAUAAGACGUGCUUCAUAAUUUAAACUUAGAAAAUGUUGGUAAAUUAAUUUAAAAUCGAACCAUUUAAUUAACAAUAAAUGGUUGGUAAUCAAUACAAAGUUGACUUAAUUAGAUGAUUGUAAUGCAAUGAAAUAAUAAUGCUUGCAUGUUACUAGGGGUGGGAACGAGCCGAGCUCGAGCCGAGCUCGGCUCUUUUGGCCAGCUCGAGCUCGAGCUCGAGUCCAUGUUCCCGAGCUCGAGCUCAUCGAGCCAAUUUUUUUUGGCUCGAGCUCGAGCUCAGGCUUAUUAAUUUUUAUUUAUUUAUUUUUUUUUUUUUUUAUUAUUAUUAUUUAAUUUUUUUAUUAAUUUUUUUUUAUUAGAAAAUAUUCAUAGGAAAAUAAAAAAAAUUAUAAAAAAAAUAAUGAACUCUAGUUAUAUAUAUAUUUUUUUUCUAUUAUUAUUAUUAUUAUUAUUAUUAUUAUUAUUAUUAUUAUUAUUAUUAUUAUUAUUAUUAUUAUAUUUUAUAUAAUUAUGAAUUAUUUAAGUAAUAUAGAUUUGUUUCUAUUUAAAUACUAGAUAUUUUUAUUAUUAUAGAGUAUUUACUAUUUAGUUAAUAAUAAUAAUAAUAAUAAUAAUAAUAAUAAUAAUAAUAAUAAUAAUAAUAAUAAUAAUAAUAAUAAUAAUAAUAAUAAUAAUAAUAAUAAUAAUAAUAAUAAUAAUAAGAAUAAUAUAUAUAUAUGUAAAAAAAAAAAAAAAAAAAAAAAAAAAAUAGAAGGCAGCUCGCGAGCCGGCUCGCGAGCUGUCGAACAACUACUUUUGGGCUCGAGCUCGAGCUCGUCCGAAGCUCGAGCUCGAGCUCGUCCGAAGCUCGAGCUCGAGCUCGAAAAUCCCGAGCUCGAGUUCGAGCUUUUUUCGAGCCGGCUCGUCUAGUUCACAAGCCGGCUCGGCUCGUUUACCACCCCUACAUGUUACACAUAGAUUCUUUCAUGAUAUACAAUCAAAUCUUAAAUUAUUUGAGCUUCAAACCAACAACUAAGUUUAUAAGUACUUACAUCAAUAAAAUACAAAAAGAGAAUCAUUGACAUUACAAUUACUUAUAAUUGUCUCAUCCAAAUGUUUAAUAUCACCUGCCUCUCGGCGAUUAUUUUCACAAUAACAAUGUUAUAAUUUCGACAAUCUCCCAGAUUUUAUACCAAAUGAAACACGAAUGAUGCUGUUGUAGUGUAGAUCUACACAUUUUCCAUCGUAGAGAAUUUACGGUCACUCGAAGUGUAUUAGGUAAACUCUGCCAUCGUGUAAUAGCUCGCGAAUAACACGUAAGAUGCCACUACAUUAACUAAUUCAGAUCAAAUAUCAUUAUAUUUUCUUGCUCCACCAACUAGACGUACACAAAUUGAAUAAUCAACAUUACACUUAUAUAUAAUAAAAUAAUUCCCGAUAAAGUUCAGUUCACGGAUGCAGCAUAGAAUAAACCGAUCUUUCAAACUCUGCACCCUUUUAACAAGACUCGAAAAACUCAAGACCGAAAGUCUAAUUACCAUAUAGUAAAGAGGCCGAAAUUGCAGUUUAAUCCCCCCAAAAAAAAUAUAUUAAAAAAAACUAAAAUAAAAUUCGAAUAUGUGUUAUCAUGUUCCUCAAAUAAUUACAAAAUUCGAUAUUUAAAAAAAAAUAUAAAAAAAACUAAAAGAAAAUAAAAAAAUGAAAACAUGAAGUUCACGUUGUUCCCGUGUUCUGCAGCACGGGGAUUCAUAUUUUAAUUUUUUUUUCCGAAAAUAAAAACUAAAAAGUUUUUUGAGCUUCCCGUUCCACAGAGCACGAAAACUUGAAGAAAGUUCAAGUUUCCGUGCUCUGCAGAACGGGAAGUUCAAAAAACUUGAAUUCUCCGUUCUACAGAGCACGGAUAUUGAAAAAUUACCGGAAUCGAGCCUCGUUUGCUGCGGAUUCAAAGUCGAAAAAAAUUUCCGAAAUUCAAUUGUCUUGAGAGAGUUUGGAAGUAGGAGAGUGAAUUUAAAAAAAAAAAUUAAAUGAAAAAGAUUCCGCUGUAUUUAGUAAAAGCCCCGCUGCAAAUAGAAACACCCGAUUAUUAAUAUUGGCAUUAGAAAAUCAAAAUCUAGUGUAAAAAUAUGGACUCAAAAAAGGAAAUUAAUCCUUCACCUAAUAGUACUUUCACGGUUUGUUUGAUGCUACACCCAGUGAAAUAUACCGGAUGAUUAUUAACCGUUGAUCUGCACACAAUCACACAAACACCCAUGUAUAUGUGUGUUUCACCUAAUAGUACUUUAACCCAUGUAAUUAUCACGUGCCAAUUGAAGGGCAAAAUUGUACUUGCCGUUAAACAUGGCAUUAACUCACCUUUCAAAUUUCAUGACGCAUGACUAGUCAACCAUUGCUGCCUCCAUUUCUGUACACCAUUCAUUUUUUUUCUCUCGCAUUUUUUUAUUAUCCUAAGAUACAUUCAUACUAUAGUACUACAAAGGACUCAAGAUGGAGUGAUUCUUGAUUCUUCUUGAUUCUCAACCUCAAGAAUUGUUCUGAAAACCAAUUCGAUUUUCGGGAGAGAGAGAGAUGGCGGCGUACGCAGCUCUACUUUCUCUCAGGCAUAUCAUCGAACAGCUUCAGCAUCACCCUUCCCCUCCAAUUUUUAUUCACCAAAACCAGGUGGAAUCUCUCACCGACAACCUCAAUUUCUUGCAAGAGUUUCUUGAGCAGGGAUAUCCUUGUGUUGGCAUCAGCAAAGGAGCAAUUGAUGUUUUUGAAAGUCGAAUUGCAGAUGCAGCUCAUGCAGCCGAAGAUAUAAUCGAAACCCGUGUUGUUGAUCAAAUUCUUACUGAAUCGACGGCUCAAGCGUCGAAAGAUAUAAACGAAACCUGGGUUGGUGAUCAAAUCCUUGGUGGAUCAAGAAAAACGAAGAAUACUAGAAUGCAAGAUCGUCUGCGCAGGAUUUUGUCCACUUUUUGUGGUGCUGGUUCAUCAAGAUCUCCUUCAACGAGGCAGAAUGUCGUAGCUGGUUUAGAUCUCGAUAAGGUGAUCCAAGACAUGGGUUUAAUCAAGAAAGAUGUGAUGGAGAUUAAAGAUAAUAAUAUUGGAAUAAUCGAAGAUCACCUGCACAAAAAUUCUUCAACUCUUGCUGGUGCUGCUUCAUCAAGGUCUCAUUUAACAACGAAGCAUGAAACCAUGGUUGGUUUUGAUGAGCUCUUAAUUGAAGUAAUGGAUAAGCUCAUUGGACAACACUCUAAUCUCUGCAUAAUCCCGAUUGUUGGAAUGGGCGGCAUUGGUAAGACUACUCUUGCUAGAAAUGCCUACGUUAAGUUUAUAAAGCACUUUGAUAUUCGAGCUUGGGUUACAGUAUCUCAAAAUUACAAUGUGCGAGAAAUUCUUAUAGAAAUUCUUCUUUGUAUAAACAAAGCUGAGAAACGAGAAACCUUGAGUGCGAAGAAUGAGGGUGAAUUAGGUGUAAAAGUACACCAAAGUUUAUGGGGAAGGAGAUAUUUGAUUGUAAUGGAUGAUAUUUGGAGUGUUGAGGUAUGGGAUAAAAUGAAUCUCUUUUUUCCGGACAAUGUUGGUCAAAGAAGCAGAAUAAUGAUAACCACUAGGCUAUCAGACGUUGCUUCGAUUGGCUCUCAUGGCGUUGUGAUGGAUUUCUUAAAUGAAGACAAGAGUUGGGAUCUACUGUGCAAAUCUAUAUUAGAAAAAGAAGAAGACUGCCCUCCUGAAUUGGAGGAAAUAGGAAAGAAGAUUGCCAAAAAUUGCAAAGGACUUCCUUUGUCAAUAGUUGUGAUUGGAGGACACCUAGCGAAGUCUAAGCGCACAAGAGAACAUUGGGAAUAUAUUUCAGAAAACAUAAAAAAAAUUGUAAAUUCAGAAGACGAUGGACGUUGCUUAAAAGUAUUACAAUUGAGUUAUAACCAUUUGCCGGUACAUCUAAAGCCGUGUUUUCUUUAUAUGGGAGUUUUUGUGGAGGAUAACAUGAUCCGUGUCUCGUGUCUCGUAAAACUAUGGGUUUCUGAAGGAUUUGUGAAACCAAUUAAGGGCAAAAGCUUGGAAGUGGUUUCGAGAGAGUACUUGCAGGAGCUCUGUGAUAGAAACUUGAUUUUAGUUCAUAAAAGGGGGUCUUAUGGAAAUAUCAAGUUUUGCAGCAUCCAUGAUCUCUUGAGGGAACUAUGCUUGAGAGAAGUUCUUUUAUGUCAGAAGACCGCAUGAACUUACCAUUCCACAGGGCAUAAAUACCCAACGCCGCAUUGGUAUUCAUCAAAGCAUGUCGGAGAAGGAUUAUCUCCGUGAUCUCCAUAAGUUGCAAUAUGUGCCUCUUGUUCGCUCUUUGAUUUGCAAUUUUGAAGAACGUUUACCAUUACUUGAUUUUAGAUUGUUGAGGGUGCUGAAAGCCGAUGAUAAAGAGUUAUAUAACGAUAACAACAGACAAUACGAAUAUUCCGUAGAAGUUGUCUUUCGGCUAGUUAACCUGAGGUUCAUUGCUAUCCGAUCUGAUGCGCUUAAAAAUUCCGGAUUUCCUUCUUCAGUCAAUCUCCUUUGGAAUCUACAGACUUUAAUUGUAAAUGGUAACAGGGGCGUUGUUGCACCAUUUGAAAUUUGGAACAUGACUCAACUUAAGCAUGUUCAUUUCAAUGUACUUCAGCUGCCUGAUCCUCCUAUCGGUGGGAAAGAUGACGAGUUUGUUUUCGGGAACCUACAAACGCUCACUAAUAUAAGAAAAUUCAAAUGUGGAGAAGAGGUUGUCAAGAGAAUCCCCAAUAUCAAUAAAUUACAAAUAUCUUACUUUGAGGAACCUCAGGGAUUUUUGAGUUACUGUCUCGACAAUCUUGGCCAGCUACAUAAACUCGAGUCCUUGCGUUUCUCCCUUUAUCCCGGAAAUAAGCGAUCCCGGAAUGAUAUGGUGCAGAAUUUCAUCCUCCCCAAUUCCCUCAAGAAGUUGACUUUGAUGGGGACCAAGCUCAAAUGGGAAGACAUGAAGACAAAGAUAUGUUUGUUACCCAAUCUUCAAGUCCUCAAACUGUUAAAAUAUUCUUUUGUGGGGACCGAGUGGGAAACAGUUGAAGGGCAAUUCUGCAACCUUAGAUACUUGCUAAUCAGAAGUUGCCGUGACCUGGAGUGGUGGACAACAGAUAGCAACCACUUUCCACGCCUUGAGCAUCUUCAUCUUGAGGACUUGGAUAAGUUGAAGGAGAUCCCUUCAUGUAUUGGUGAAAUAUCAACGCUUCAAUCGAUUCAGUUGAUUUGGUGUAGCAAGUCAGCUGUCAGUUCUGCUAAAAAAAUAUUGAAGGAACAAGAGGAUUUUGGCAAUGUAGGCUUUCGAGUUCAAGUCUUCCACGGGAUAGUCUGAACUUUCUACUUGAUUUUUUAUGAGAACUCAAUCNNNNNNNNNNNNNNNNNNNNNNNNNNNNNNNNNNNNNNNNNNNNNNNNNNNNNNNNNNNNNNNNNNNNNNNNNNNNNNNNNNNNNNNNNNNNNNNNNNNNNNNNNNNNNNNNNNNNNNNNNNNNNNNNNNNNNNNNNNNNNNNNNNNNNNNNNNNNNNNNNNNNNNNNNNNNNNNNNNNNNNNNNNNNNNNNNNNNNNNNNNNNNNNNNNNNNNNNNNNNNNNNNNNNNNNNNNNNNNNNNNNNNNNNNNNNNNNNNNNNNNNNNNNNNNNNNNNNNNNNNNNNNNNNNNNNNNNNNNNNNNNNNNNNNNNNNNNNNNNNNNNNNNNNNNNNNNNNNNNNNNNNNNNNNNNNNNNNNNNNNNNNNNNNNNNNNNNNNNNNNNUAUAUAUAUAUAUAUAUAUAUAUAUAUAUAUAUAUAUAUAUAUAUAUAUAUAUAUAUAUAUAUAUAUAUAUAUAUAUAUAUAUAUAUAUAUAUAUAUAUAUAUAUAUAUAUAUAUAUAUAUAUAUAUAUAUAUAUAUAUAUAUAUAUAUAUAUAUAUAUAUAUAUAUAUAUAUACUUGAUUUUUUAUGAGAACUCAAUCUUCAUAACAUGAUCCUUUUGCUACUGAUCAAGCUCAACAUAUAUAUAUAUAUAUAUAUAUAUAUAUAUAUAUAUAAAUAUAUAUAUAGAGAGAGAGAGAGAGAAUGUGUGUGUGUGUGUAACUUUAUUUUUAGGAUUAAGUUCUUUGAAACAAAUUUGCGAUCUUCUUUGUCUAUAUCUAGUCCAUGCACAUUUCAUUUUGAGUUUCUACUUUUGUUGUUGUAUUUUACUUCUGAACCUACACAUGGAGCAUAAAUCGAAGAAUGGAGGCCCGAGAGCCGAUUGCAUGUCGCGUUAUUGAACUUAGAUUGACAAUUUGGUAUGUUGGAAUUUACAAUGCAUUGUUUCUUCUUGAGAAUCGUUUUAAUGUUGAAGAUACCUUCUUCCUGUCAUUCGUUUGGCGUGAAAUUUAGCCUCCGGUUAAUUUAUUGGAAACAUUUAUGUGAGCUUGUAAACAAUUUCUACUUUGCUUUUCUUUCAUGUAAUUUCUUUUUGAGGCUUUAUGUAAUAGUUGUUUUUCCAUCAUUUAAACUCGAUUUUAUUCUUGGUUAUAGGGGUACUCUUUUCCUUGUGUUAGGCUCACAAGGUUUUUACCUUUGUACUUUUUUCUAUAUGGAAUAAAAAUCUUUUUUGGCCCAAAAAAUUGGGUAAAUUACACCCACACCCUUGAGGUAUUGCUUAAAUAACUUUAAGGUCUCUGUGGUAUCGAUAAUUACACUCAUCCUGAAAUAUAGUUAGGAACUCUGAUGGGAUAAUGCCGAUAGAGUAGUCUUACCAAUGCCGCCCAUUCCAACAAUUGUGAUUAUAUGGAAAUUAGAUUGUUGUCCAGUGAGCUUAUCCAUGACUUCAAUUAAGAGAUCAUCAAGACCAACCACGGCAUUCUGCCUCGUUGAAGGAGAACUUGACAAACCUCCAAGCGUAGGAGAAUUUGUGUGCAGAUGAUCUUCGAUUAUUCCAAUGUUAUUCUCUUUAAUCUGCAUAGGCCGCCAUCUCUAAGAAUAAUUUUUCAUUCCAAACAAAAAAUUGUUUCUUUUCAUAUAUAUACUGGCAAUUGAAGGUUUGAUUUUGGUCCACUCAUUUAGUGGUUGUACAUGCAUAAGGGUGGAAAUCGGACAUAAUGGAUCAAAAAUGAUUUUUUCGGAAAAUUUUCAAAUUUUUUCGAAGGUAAAAAAUGGUUUCUGAUUUCCGUUACAAAAAAUUCGGAUGCAAAAAUUAAUUCCGAUGUCGGAUUGCCUCGGGAUGGGCGGAAUUUCGGAAAUUACAUUAGUUUGUAAUCUCUUAAAUCACCAAUAACUCUUUGUUGUCUCCACUACUUCCUGGAACUAAAUAGUUCAUAAGAACUCCAUCGGAAUAACGUAUCUAAUGCAUUAUCUCAUUAAAUAGCAUUCUUCCAAAUAUUGCAACAACUUUUUUUUGACAGAUAGGCGUUUCACCAAACAGCCUACUCACCAGAUAAACAUUGUUUAUAACAUUUGCAAUCAUACAAAGUCUCGGUUUUACAUUGUGUUUUAAUACACACACUUCACGAUCACAAGGACCGGGUACAAUUGGCACUUCAACCAUCAAAAGAAGCGCUAAUUGCCAAUGAACUUAUAAGACAUGCUGAAAGGUAUGUAAGAAUAUCAGCGGCCUCAUGUAUCUCUGAGAUCGUAAGAAUAACUGCACCUGAUGAACCAUAUGAGGAAGACCAGAUGAAGGUAACUCUAAAUAGUUAAGAUGUCUGUUUUUUUUUUUAUAAUUAUUUUUAGUUAUAUUAGUUAGGGUAAAUUACAACCACUCCCUGAGGUAUGGUCAAAUUACGAAAAUUCCCUCGUGUUUGGGUAAUUACAACCACCCCUCAACUAUAAAUCUUCUUACACGUCCACCCUUGCGGUUUCAAAUUUAGUAGAACCUUCUAGGUUAUAUGGAAUAUUCUCAAAUUUGUACCCGUUUUAUCCCAUUCGAGCUCCACAUUUUGAAGCCAGAUGAUCAUAAGACGCGUUUUUUGGCUUGUAAAUAUCAGAUUUUGGUGCAUCAGAAACUGUAUUUUUGCACAAAAUGAGUACAAACUAGAGAACAUUCCAUGGAAUCUAGAUGAUUGUGUUGAAUUUGACACCAUAAGGGUGGAGAUGUAGGAAUAUUCAUAGUUGAGGGGUUAGAUGUAAUUAUCCAAACAUGAGGUUUUUUUUUUGUAAUUUGACCAUACCUCAGGGGAGUGGUUGUAAUUGUUGUUGGCUGGCAAAUAGUUUAUUCUCUUCUACACGUUGUGUGUGUGUGCGCGUGUGUUAUGCUUAAGUAUCAACUACGUAUAUUUUUGAAAGAAUUUAUGGUCCCGAAUUCGUUUAAUACAGAGGUGUUGUUGAAGGUGUUAUGACACUUGAACAAACAAGCAGCGGAAAUAUAAAGACAAAAGAACAAUACUCAGAAUUAAAAAUGUUCACAAGUAAAGACUUGUGAACUUGCCCUUUACAGGACGGAAAAUAUAUUAAAAUCAGUAUUCCAAGAAUACAAACAGAAGAGUGCGAAAACUUCUUCCUUAUGAGUGAAUCUUUUUCAAGAUCACUCUUACAACCAAAUCUAGAUACUAAAAGAAAGAUAUCAAAAAUUCUAGAUUUCAAAGAAUGUACUUAUAAAUAGUACGUACAACAGAUCCUAGAAAACACACUAAAAUUCUCGAGAUUAAAACUUCAGCUCUCUAUUUUGUUUUCUCGAAAUCUGUGAUAAUCUUGAGUCUUGAGUUUGAUAUUUAUAGACUUGCCAAGCUUCCACUCUUCAGCCCAUGAUCUGCAAGAAAACCAACCACAAGAGCACUCAAGAUAAUGGGUUAGUGGGUUAGUUAGGAAGUUAAGAUAAAUCCCAUAAUUAAAUCCACUAAGCACUACUUAACCCUACUAAGCCCACUAACUAAGAUUUAGUUUAGAAGUUAAGAAAAGUUAAAAACACAUUGUGAAAUUAAUUCACGUGUUUCAAACUCCCCCUUUUUAACUUUCUGAUCAAAACUAAAUCUUAGUCAAAGACUCCCCCUGAGAUAUUGCUUGAACUCCCCCUGAAUUUGAUACCAUUUGAAAAACAUAGAAACAAUAAAUUAAAACCAAAUUCAGCAAGAUAGUCCAACAAAAGAAAUAAUCAAAGUGCAGUCCUAAACAAAAGUUCAGAGGGAAAAUAAACAAAACACAAACAAAAUAAAAUAUUGUUCAUGAAAACAAUCUAAAGUAAGAUAUCCAAGGUCUCCUCAGUUUCAGCUGCUGCUCCUCCUCCAUCACUAGAUCCACUGCUUUCUUCUUGAGCUUCCCCCUCUUUCUUUGCCUCCUCUUCAUUGACUCCUUGCUCUCUGCCUCUAGCAUCCAAGGGAUGAGAUGUUCCUGCUUCAGUUUCAUGAUCUUUUUCUCCCCCUUUUUGAUCAGAAAGAGCCUUCUGAAUCAUCUCCACCAUGGACUGAUGAUAGGUAAUCUGAGCUAGAGAAUGAGUAAGAUGCUGCAAUAGAAGAUCUCUAGGAACAGAGACAAGAAGGUUAGAAGUGUUGUCAACAUGAGGUGCAACACCCUCAGUACCAAUGUUAUUUUGACCUGAUUCAGUUGAGAGAAAAUCAUCUCCAUUCCAGGGAAGAUCUUGAACAUGAGGAGCCCUCAAAAAAUUUUGAGACACAGUGAUCAUGCCUUGUGGGGUGUGAAGAUAUUCUGAGUCAUCUUGGCCCAAGUUUUGAGAGAGUAAGAUGGAAUAGAUGAGAGAAGGAUAGGGGAGGUGAGUGGAGGGUGAAAUUUUCUGGGCAAGAUGACCAAUAGUAUCAAAGAACAGUUUGCCAAAAUCCACUGGUAAACCCAUCCCCAAUUUGUACAUGAGUACAACAUGAGGCUUAGUUACCACAGAGACAUUUUUGGAUGGAAUCCAAUUAGCCACUGUGAGUCUAAACAGGACAGAGUAGAAAGCAGUGAGUUGAGAGACUUGAAAUUUUCUUGGGUGUGCAGGCCAAUUUCUUAAACGGUUUCCAGAAAUAACUUUGCAAAUCUCAGUAAAAUCACCAUAAUUAUCCUCAUCAAUCACAGUAGGAGUUUGUAAAUGAGAGUUGAUAACUUUGGGAGAAAAGGAAUAAAUGGCAUUGCGCACAAAAACUUUGCCAAAGUUUGGAGAGUUUUUCUUUAAAAAGGAGGUUUGCAAAUUGGCAUAAAACUCUUUCACAACCAAGGGAUCAUAAGAGCAGGCAAUCUCAACUAGGUUAAGGAUUUUUCUUUGGUGAAGAAAAGCUGUUAUCCUAUGCCUAUCAAAUUCUUCCUUAGAAAUUUUCUUUUCCUCAAUGAAAUGACAAUUCAUGACUUGAGGACUCAACAAUGAAUCAGACUCAAAAUAGAAAUUAGGACUGAAGGCAUUUGUUACCUCAAAAGGGAUUGACAAGUUCUUCCCAUCCAGGUCUGGUUCUUCUUCUUCUGAGGAAUCAUCAUCUUCUGAAUCUUCAAGCUCAUCAGGGACAUAUGCUGGUUCAGGUGAUGCAGCACGUGGGGCAACACCUUCUUCCUGCUGAGAAGAGUCUUCAGAGGAUUCACUGUCGGAAUCAGAAGAGGACAAGUUUUUGCGAAAAGUAGCUAGUGGAACCUCCCAACUGUCUUCACUUUUCUCUGAUUCUUCAGCCUGAGGAGGAAUUGUAUCUGCUUGAGCUGCUGCUUCUGCCAGGGUUUCCAGAGGAUCUCCCUGAGGUGCUGAUGGAGUUUCUUCUGUAGUGGUGAACUCCUGAGCAUCGACAAAUGGAAUGUCUACAUGCUCUGCUGAUGACAUUCCAGAGAAAUCAGGCAUUUCUUCAUCCUGAUAAGGGGCAGCAUCCUCAGCAGCAUUCUGAGGAACAUUUGCUGAAACAGUAGGUGCAGCAGCAUCUUCUGGAGCAUGAGGAACAUUUGCUGAAACAGUAGGUGCAGCAGCAUCUUCUGGAGCAUGUGCAGCAACACCUUCAGAGACAGAUGCAGCAACACCUUCAGGAACAGGUGCAGCAACACCUUCAGGAACAGAAUGUUGAGAGGCUGCUGUUGCCAUGCUGGGCUGCGACGUCUCCCCCUGAGUUGAUGCUGGGGAAGGUGAGUUGUUGGAUGAAGACUCAGAGGAGCUGGAGGACAAGGCUUGAGCCUGUGGUGCAGCAAAGGUAGGAUCCCCUGCUUCGUCAUCAGUUUCUUCAUCUACCAGAUGAAGACCUCUUCGUGGGUUUGACUGGACUGGAGUGCGGCCACCUCUGCUUCCUCUUCUUCCACCUCUGCUUCCUCUCCGGGGAGAGUUUUCUCCUCUUCGGCGUUGAGGCACCGCAGUGUUCAAAUCUGGAAAGGGGUUUGUGCGCUUUGACCGGCGCGUUGGAAAUCUUCCGGCGGUGGAAGAGGGACCCACAAAAUCAAAGUUGUCUGGGUCAAUCGGGUUCAGCUCGUCGCCGGGCUCAAUGUAGCUGAUAGGAACAACUUCAAAGUUGAUUGGAUGAACAAUGAUGGCCAGAUUUGGGUCUGCUGGUACAGGUGCUGCAGCAUCGUUGUGGACAUCACCAUCGACGGCUGGAGGAGGAUUUCUAGGUGGGGAUGCCAUGAUACAGUAGAUAAAGUAAAAUUGCUUCUUUGUGCUUUUGAUUUUUGAGUGUGAAUUUUGUGAGAAGAAGCACGAAAUUUAUAAGCCCUAAUUUUUGCUGAAGAAGAAAGAAAAAAAAUUGAAGUGGAGAAGGUGAAGAAGUGGUGUCCGUUUUUCUUGGGGAGAGUGUGAUUAAGGAGAAUAAAAUUUCCUUGGCAGUUUAAAAUAAACACGUGACACAUGGCACAAUAAGGAGUGGACUUAGUGGAAAAUAUGGAAUUAACCCAUGUACCCAUGACCCAUAUAAAUAGGGAUAAUUAAAAUGAAAAGAGAAAAAAUCAAUAAAACCGUAGCACUCAAGAAAUAUUCACAAAUAAUAGAAAAAUACAUUUAUUGAUGAUUAAUAGUGAGAAAAUUUGCUGACAGGCAUAGAUACUAUUAUAUCUGUAUAUUUAUAUAUUUAUUAUUAUAUAUAUAUAUAUAUAUAUAUAUAUAUANNNNNNNNNNNNNNNNNNNNNNNNNNNNNNNNNNNNNNNNNNNNNNNNNNNNNNNNNNNNNNNNNNNNNNNNNNNNNNNNNNNNNNNNNNNNNNNNNNNNNNNNNNNNNNNNNNNNNNNNNNNNNNNNNNNNNNNNNNNNNNNNNNNNNNNNNNNNNNNNNNNNNNNNNNNNNNNNNNNNNNNNNNNNNNNNNNNNNNNNNNNNUAGACCAUACAGUGCCUUCUUAAGCUUGAAAACAUGAUUAGGCUUGGCAGAAUCUUCAAACCCUUUGGCUGUUCAACAUAUGCUUCCUCAUUUAAAACCCCAUUCAGAAAUGCACUUUUGAUAUCCAUCUGAUACAGUUUGAUUUUAAGAAAGCAGGCUAUAGCAAGAAGUAAUCUAAUUGAUUCAAUUCUAGCUACUGGAGCAAAAGUCUCAUCAAAGUCUAUACCCUCAAUUUGAGUGUAUCCUUGUGCUACUAACCUAGCCUUAUUUCUAACAACUGUACCUUUUUCAUCAGUUUUGUUUUUGAAGAUCCACUUAGUCCCUAUCACAUGUACAUGGCUUGGUCUGGGAACUAAGUACCACACAUCAUUUCUGAUGAAUUGAUUCAACUCUUCAUGCAUUGCAUUUACCCAGAAUUCAUCCUUCAGAGCUUCUGCAAUAUUCCUGGGUUCCACUGAAGACACAAAACAAGUGGUUCCAGUUAGUGCACAUUCAGAAGAUAAAUUAGCAAAUCUUACCAUAUCUCUGUAGUUCACUCUCUCUUUUCUUCUGGUUCUUAUUCCACCAAAGAUAUCACCCACUACUUGAGUUGAUGGGUGAUUUUUCUGGAUUCUGCUUGAUGGUUCCUUUCUGCAGACAUCUAGGGUUGGUUGCAACUCAGUCUCUGUAGGAUGUGUUGAGUCAGAUGUGGUGACACUUGGCUCAGCACCUUCUUCUCUUGAGACUGGACUGUUUGUGUCUGGGCUUUCUGUGGCAGAAGUGUCUUCUUCUGUUGUUUCCCUUUCAGCAAUCAAGUCAUCAACUUCAUCUUCAGCUGUUUUACUGCGGAGAUCAGCAAAGUCAUCAAAUACCACAUUUACAGAUUCAAUAAUGGUUCGAGUUCUUAGAUUGUAUACUCUAUAAGCAUGACUGUUAUUAGAGUAUCCCAUAAACAAGCUCAAAUCACUUUUUGAAUCAAAUUUAGCUAGAUGAUCUCUAUCAUUUAGAACAUAGCAGACACACCCAAACACAUGCAUGUAUUCUAGAUUAGGUUUCUUACCAUAAAGAAUUUCAUAUGAAGUCAUCAUAGAUCCUAAUCUUAGAUACACACGGUUUGAGAUGUGACAGGCUGUGUUGACAGCCUCAGCCCAAAACCUUUUAGACAAAUUUUUUGCACUCAUCAUCACCCUAGCCAUUUCCUGAAUAGUUCUGUUUUUCCUUUCAGCAAUGCCAUUUUGCUGAGGAGUUUUUGGAGCAGAAAAUUCAUGCUUUAUUCCCUUUUUAUUACAAAAAGCAAAAAAUAAAGCAUUCUCAAAUUCUUUUCCAUGAUCAGAUCUUAUCCUACGAACAGAAACUUGAAAUUGAGUUCUAACAAACCUGUACAAAUUUUUGAAAACUUCAAAGGUGUCUGAUUUUUCUCUCAAAAAAUACACCCAAGUAUAUCUUGAAAAAUCAUCAACACAUACAAAGACAUAUUUUUUACCACCUAGACUUUCUACCUCUAUAGGACCCAUAAGAUCCAUAUGUACAAGUUCAAAACAAAUAGUGGUACCAACGUGUUGCAACACUUUGUGUGGUACUCUGGUUUGCUUUCCCUUCUGGCACAUUCCACAUAUAGGAAUAUCCUUGAUCUUGAGAUCUGGUACUCCUCUUAUGGCAUUGUACUUGUUGAGAAGCUUCAGAUUCUUGAAGUUUGUAUGUCCUAGUUUCUGGUGCCACAGCUCUACUUCACUUACUCUUGAACUCUUGCAUGAGAUGGUGUCACCUGUUUGAUAGCAAUUAUCCAUUGAUCUGGAACCUGUAAGUACACAAUGAUUUUGAUUAUCAAACACAGAACAACAGUAUUUAUCAAAUUCUACACGUAGAUCAUCAUCACACAAUUGACUGAUACUAAUGAGAUUUGACCCCAAUCCUUCAACAUGUAAAACAUUUGAGAGUUUUGGAAGCCCCUCAAUACUGAGUGUUCCACGUCCAACCACUUUGCCUUUAGCUCCUCCUCCAUAGGUUACACGUCCUCCAUUAAGUGUGUGGUAGUUUGAUAGAAAUUCCUUUGUUCCAGUCAUGUGCCUGGAGCAUCCACUAUCAAAGUACCAUGAACCUGAAAUGUUAGCAUUUAAAGAGGUGUACACUGCUUUGCACAAAAAUUUACCUUUGGGAGUCCAUAUUUUACACUCCUUUUUGGUAGAUUCUACCUUUUUCUUUGAAAUGUUCCUUGAAGUGUUGUGGCUUAUUUUAUACAACAUUUUGUCACUGCUGAGUUUUUCACAAAAUGGACGAAUGUGUCCUGGUGAGAAACAGUAAUGACAAACAUAACCUCUUAUUCUGGAAUCUGGAGUGGUGACUGUGGACUUCCUGCAAUCCUUUCUGUUUGCACCCUUCUCUUUUACAAAGACAAUUUCUUUCUUCUUAACUGGCUUCAUUUGUUUUUUGAACCCUAGCCCUUCAUGUUUGUAGUGCUUCUCCAUUGACACAAUCUCUUCGAGCUUAGUUGUGCCAGUGUUCAUCCUCUUGAUUGCUAGAGUUGCCUUUUUGAGUUCUUCUUUCACUUUUGCCAGUUCAAGAUCCUUCUUGGUGAUUCCAACCUCCAAAUGUGUGAUUGUUUCUUUGAGGGAGGAAUUUUCUUUGUUGGCUGCAUCUAGAGCUUGAGUCUUAUUCUCCAAGUUUCAGAUCAGCUUUUUAUACAUUUCUUCAUCAUCACUGACUGCUUCAUUACUGGAUUCUGCUGCAUUCACAGAAAUAGAGUUUAAACAUGUAUAUUGAUCAGUAUUUAACUCACAAAUUGAAAGUGUUUCAGAAAGUGUUGCAGCAUCCAGGGAGACUCUUUGGGAUUCUGUUUCAGUGGAACUUCCAGUAAGAUAUCUGACAGAAAAAGCUUGUUUAGAGGAUUGCUGUUCCUCUGUCUGUUCAGGUUGUUCUUCCUCCUCAUCACUGACAGCACAAAUCAAACUCAUUCCUCUCCUUCUCAAGGUAUUUGCACAUUCAUUAGCAUAAUGUCCAAAUCCUGAACAGGCCCUGCAUUUAAUAUGAUCCAAGUUAGGUGGUUCAGAAUUUGAACGAAUAAAAGAAGAAUUUUUUAAAUUGUUUUGAGAAGGUGUUUGAGGAAAUGUUCUCUGUGGAAUAGAUCUGUUCCGGGGCUGAGUUUGUCGAUUUUGUGGAGACCCUUCUGAGAAUAACUGCCUGGGCUUGAUUCCACUUCGUCUGAACGCCCUAUUGAAUUUCUGAAUCUGAAAUGCCACAUUAUUGAGGCAUUCUUCUGCAUCAUCAUCAUAUUCCGGAGCAACAUCUUCCUUCUCUAAUUCUGCCUGGAGUGCAUUUGAGAUAGCCUUUCCUUUCUCCUUUCUUUGAUCUUCGAAGUUCAUCUCUCUGGACUUGAGACUUCCUAUUAAUUCGUCCAGCCGUAGAGAUGAUGUAUCUUUAGCCUCCUCAAUAGCAGUAACCGUCAUGCUGAACCUUUCUAGAGGAGUUCUCAAUACCUUAUUCACUAGUGUCUCGUUGCUCAAAGGACCACCUAAGGAUUGAAAUUCAUUAGCCAAGUCAAUCAGCUUCUCAUUGUACUGAGAAAUUGUUUCAGUUUCCUCCAUUCUCAGUCUCUCAAAUUUGGAAGAGAGUAAUCUGAGCUUGGUUCUUUUGACACUAUCUGAUCCCUCACAAUGUAGCUGAAGAAUUUCCCAAGCAUCCUUUGCAGAAGUGCAUACAGAGAUUAAUUUAAACAUUGUUAAAUCUACUGAAUUGAAAAUUGCAUUUAACGCCUUUGAGUUUUGAUUAGCAUUUGAUAGAUCGUCUGGUGUCCACCGUAAUUCUGGAGUUGGAAAAACAUCUCCGUCCACAUCUGUGAUAGUUGGUGGCUUCCAUCCAGUGAGAAUAGAUCUCCAUGCUCUCUCAUCAAUGGCUUUGAUGUACGCCCUCAUCUUGACUUUCCAGUAGGUGUAGUUCGUGCCAUCAAGUACAGGAGGUCGCAUAGAAGCAGUCAUCUGAGUAUCCAUCACGAAUUCGUUUCUGUAAGAAAAAUAGGAACAAACACUUAGUAUACGUCAAGUGUUGGCUCUUGAUGCCAAUUGAAAGAAUUUAUGGUCCCGAAUUCGUUUAAUACAGAGGUGUUGUUGAAGGUGUUAUGACACUUGAACAAACAAGCAGCGGAAAUAUAAAGACAAAAGAACAAUACUCAGAAUUAAAAAUGUUCACAAGUAAAGACUUGUGAACUUGCCCUUUACAGGACGGAAAAUAUAUUAAAAUCAGUAUUCCAAGAAUACAAACAGAAGAGUGCGAAAACUUCUUCCUUAUGAGUGAAUCUUUUUCAAGAUCACUCUUACAACCAAAUCUAGAUACUAAAAGAAAGAUAUCAAAAAUUCUAGAUUUCAAAGAAUGUACUUAUAAAUAGUACGUACAACAGAUCCUAGAAAACACACUAAAAUUCUCGAGAUUAAAACUUCAGCUCUCUAUUUUGUUUUCUCGAAAUCUGUAAUAAUCUUGAGUCUUGAGUUUGGUAUUUAUAGACUUGCCAAGCUUCCACUCUUCAGCCCAUGAUCUGCAAGAAAACCAACCACAAGAGCACUCAAGAUAAUGGGUUAGUGGGUUAGUUAGGAAGUUAAGAUAAAUCCCAUAAUUAAAUCCACUAAGCACUACUUAACCCUACUAAGCCCACUAACUAAGAUUUAGUUUAAAAGUUAAGAAAAGUUAAAAACACAUUGUGAAAUUAAUUCACGUGUUUCAAUUUUAUUCUUGCCAACUUUAGAAGCAGCCACCAUCCGGCUAUAUUCUCAAACAUGGUGAAUAUCAUGGCGGGGAUCGUUCUUGCCAAUGAUGACAAUGAUGAAUUUUCUGUGAAACUUGCAAAAAUCCUUCUUGCUAGGUUAAAGAAGGAAGAUCAAGUAACUUCUCCUAUUUUUUUCAGUGUUUUUUGUUCUAUAUAUAUCGUUCGUGCCGUAUCACACUGUUUUUUGGUCUUAUUAAAGCAUUUUUUUUUCUACUUCAGAAUGUUACACCAGCUUCAUUCCAGCUGGCGGAGGGCACAUUUAAGAAUUGCUCCAGUGCACUCAAGGAGCAUCUUCCUAAAGCUGCAAAAAGUUUGGGAAUUCCCAUCGAGGAUUAUGCUGAAGUAGUUGCAUCGUUAUUACAGGGUGCAACUCAAGGGGAAAAAACCAUGGUGUGUUUUUCAAAAAAAGCAAAAAAAAUAAAGCUAGAAUAAGAAGAUGCAUUACGUGUUUUGGUUAGGUUGGAGAUAAUGUAUUUGUUGCUACGGUUGUGUUUGGUAUAACUUUGAAGUUGCAUUUGGAUGGAAGGGUUUGAGCAAACGAGUUUUAAAAACUUAAAAUAACAAAUUCAUGCGUUUGUUUGGAUUGAUUUAUUUGACAAUGGAUUUUAAAACCCUUAGUUCUCAUUUUAAGUUAUUUUUUGAGUCGUGACGUCGAAUUUCAAAUCCUUCUGUUUGAGUCAUUUUAAAUCCAUUCCUCUCGAAUCAAUUUAAUCCAUUUGUUCAAUUACUUUAUAUAUCUUUCUACCUUGGCUUGAACCACGUAACGUUAAAAUCUUUGGUGUUUUUUUAAUGCAUAUUUGAUAUAAGAUUCGAUCACCAGAAUUAGGAUUAUAUACGACACAUUAAAUGCUAAUGUUUAAGGGAGAGGAAAUAACUAAAGUACAUUUCUCCAAUCUAACGCGCGUAUCAGUUUUAUGUCUAAGAUAUUUAUUUUUUCCUACUAAGCCUUUCGUUGAGUUACUUUAAUUGAACUCGUCAGAAAUUUAGAGCAUGUUUGCAUGAGCUUCUAGAAUAAAAGUCCAUUUUUUCAAUUGUACUUCUUAUUAAGUUUUCUUUAUUAAGUUCGGUGAUUAUAUUACGACAUGUUUGGUGAAAUACACUUUAAAGGAACUAUAAAUCCAUUAAGUUUUGGAAAUGGAUUUCAGAAGUAACAAUGUCUUAUGUAUCGAGAGUGAACUUUCCGGAAGUGAUUUAUCCCGAAUGACUUAAUUUGUUUCGAGACAGCCAAUGUGAUGAGUUAAUAUUGUUGCUUCCAAUUAUAUUGACUUCAGUGUUUUUGUUUAUUUUCCAGGACGUUGAACAUAUAGGAGUAAAUGCCACGUGUCAGGAGGAAGGUGGUUUAGCAGUAACCCCACCUGGCUUAACCGUAAGUGAUGAUGUUCUUAUUCGGAAAAAAAGGAGUCGGAAACCGAACUCCUUACUUAAACCAGAGGAGGGCUACGAUCCUUUGUGGAUGUUGAAAGGGUCUCUGACAAGGGAAGCUCCCGCAAAGAAAGGCAAGAGAAAGAGUAUUCUUUCUGAAGACCUAAUCGAUGCCACCCUGAACAAGGUAAUAAGUGAAUUGUGUAGAUCUUUUGCCAUUAAUUGAACGCCAGAUGGCGACUUCUAUCGACUUUUAGUCGUUAACUGUUAGAUAACUCUCUUGCAUAAUGCAGAGAUUGCCUUCUCAAUCCACACCUACAUUAUCGAAAGGGGAAGCCUUAUCAGGGGAAGUUUCUAACUUUCAAAAUACGAAGAAGAGUACCACGUCCGACGACAAGGUCUGGCCUUGUUAUCCGUCUUACCUUUGUAAUUGUUAAUGUUGUAGAUAUUUCGCUAAAUCAACCUUGUUAAAUGUCAAUUUUUAUCGACAUAAAUGUAAUUAAAUAAUAAUAUUUUAUUAACAUAGACAAUGUAAUUAGAUAUUCCACCUCGCCGCCGGAGUUUCGAACCGAUUGCUCCGAGACGGCACGCCACUCCCGCUUAGCCAAACACCCUCAUACUUUUACCUUUGGUAACCUUUUUACUGCGUUAACUUGCCAAAUUGGACCUUUUUUUUUUUUUUUUUGAUAAAUUAGGAAGAGAAAAAAAUUAGGGUUUUUUUUUUUUUUUUUUUUUUUUUUUUUUUUUUUUUUUUGUGUAAUCGAGUUUUGGAUGAGCUAAAUAAAAAUUGGGUUGGCUAAAUAAUAAUAUAUAUGUAAAAUAAGCUAGAAGAAUUUUUAAUUGAGGGAGGGAUCGAGUCCACCCUAGCUGGACUCGCCCCUGAAUUUAACUGAAAGGUUGCAAAUUAUUUUUGCCAUUCCCAUAAAUUCAAACCAAAUCUUUUAGUAUUGGCAACCUCCGGAAAUAAAGUGCGCAAACAAGAUUACGUGCAAGCAUACAUUGCUAAACCUUCUACAAUGUCAUGGUAAGUUUAAACUGUUCUCGGUACAAAUUGACACUGCCAGCGCACUGAAUUUGAGGGAAAGUAAUUUCGGAAAUGCCAAGAGAGAAUACGUAGUUCCGCUAUAAAGGGAAUUACGUUCUUAGUUCUUUGAUUUCCUUUUUUGUUUUUCAAAUAUGGGUUAUGUUUCGAUAUUUCAACGUGUCAAAAGGAAUUAUGUUUUUGGCAUCUAUAAAGGGAAGUUCAAAUAAAUGAAAUCCGCCAUGCAGAAUAAUGCUCCGGGGCUGUGAUUAUCAGAAUAAGUUCUAAUAAUCUUUAAUGUGUCAAAUAUUGUGGGUCACGUUUUGGAUAAUUCCCACGCACUAAUAACAUGCAUGUUUGUGCAUAUAUUUUAUGUGUAUCCAUACGUCAUUUGUGUAUCUAUAAAAUCAUAUUAAGCUUAACUGUUAUUAUUUAGGGUUCCGAGGUAAAGGGCGCGAGCAAUUGUGUUGGUGAAGAGGUGGUUGGCCGCAGGAUAAAGGUUUUGUGGCCACUGGAUCAGAUGUAAGUAUUCCCGAUUAUAACCAUCUGAUGCAAGGAACUAACUGAUACCACACUGACAUCACUUUUUUUUUUUUUUUUUGUGUCCGUUUGCCUUUUUAUUGCAAUCUCUUUAUUCCCGAAUCUGUCUCCUUUUGUAGAUUUUACGAAGGGAAAAUUACAUCUUUCGACAAUUCGAAUAAAACACACCAGGUAAAAUUUCAAACUUCUAUAUAUAUAUGAAGUUUGUUAGCUAUAACAACUUUGUUUGAUGGAUCAUUCUUCGUAUUCACAAAUACAAUUGCCCUUUAUUACGUGCAAUAACUGGAUCUUUAAUUUGAAUAAUGUAUAUUUUACAUUUUCGGAUUGCACGUGCGUUGUGAAUGAGUUCGUCAAAUUCUUAUUGUUACUGUACCAUUACAUCAUUUAGGUUGACUACGAUGACGGUGACCAUGAAAAAUUAGACCUUAGUAAGGAAUGCUGGCUGCUGAUAGGUGACGACGGUUUGUCCACUCAUGUCGGAGUUGCAUUAUUAUCAAUAUUUUUAUAAUUUUUAGAAUUGGUUGAAAUAUUUAACGCGUCUAUUUGUGUUUCCGUAUUUAAUAGGAUCAGAAGAUUGAUGCAAAUCCAGGUUCCUCAGCAGAGAUGUGAGCUUCUCUUUGGGCUUUAUUAUUUCGUGUACACAAUCUUGUACUGUUUAUUAUCUUAACGCCCUUAAUCACAUGUUUAGUUCUUCAUCAUUUAAUUUAUAUCGUAAUCGACUUUGGGAUGAUAGAAAAAAUAAUUCUCUUAUUCUGGUAACCCCGUUUCUUUAAUGUUCUAGUUUUUGUUGUACUUGUUAAUCUAAUAUCCCUAGGGUAAAUUACGGUCACCCCCGGAGGUAUGGUCAAAUUACGAAAAAACCCCUCAUGUUUGGGUAAUUACAACCACCCCUCAACUAUUUUACUUCUUACACGUCCACCCUUAUGGUGUCAAAUUCAACAUAAUCUUCUAGAUUCCGCAAAAUAUUCUCUAGUUUGUACUCGUUUUGUGCAAAAAUGUUGUUUAUGAUGCACCACAAUCCAAUAUUUACAAGCCAAGAGACACAUCAUAUGACCAUCUUGUUUCAAAAUGUGGAGCUCAAAUGGGAUAAAACGGGUACAAACUGGAGAAUAUCCACACAAUCUAGAAGAUUCCACUAAAUUUGACAAUGUAAGGGUGGACGUGUAAGAAGAUUCAUAGUUGAGGGGUGUAAUUGUAAUUUUUCAAACAUGAGGGUGUUUUUGUAAUUUAAUUAUACCUCAGGGGUCGUCGUAAUUUACCCAAUAUACCUAUGGUAGUAUUUAGUUGCCACUUCGGUUGUGCUUUUUGUAUCUUAACCCUCAUUUAUUCUGAUUUCUUGGGUUAUUGCUUUGCCCCAAAAGUAUGUGUGUCGCAAUCGUGUUUAAUUUAGUGAUGCUAAAGCUUAAAGUGUACUAUAUUAUGCACAAGCAGAUUGACUGAUCAUGGAACAAAGUCUUCUCGUAUGUCGAAAGGGAAAGAGAAGGUGAGUUCCUAGUGUAAAUAGUUUGAUCGUAAAUUCGAUAAUUCAAAUUGUUCGCUAGAACUUUUCUGCGCAUGGCUUUUUUAUAUGGAACAAGAACAACUGCGAUGAUAUAGAGUUUUCUUGGAAGACCAUAUUGUCCUUCGGGUAGAAAAAUCAUGAACUUGAAAAGGAAAAGAUAAAUAUAAGUAUGGGGAAAUUACAGUUUUCAUCCUUCAAGUUUGCACCGAUUUCACAUUUAGUCCCUCAUGUUCCAAUGAUUUUAACACUUUUGAUCAUUUCCGUCAAUUUACUGUUUGUCCGUUAGUUAAGGCAGUGAUGGACACUAAAAGCAUGCUUUUGAUCCUUCAAGUAUGCUUGAUUCCGUUAGUUUUAACGGAAAUGACUAAAAGUGUUCAAUUUUUGAGACAUUAUGGACCAAAUGUGUUUUUUGUGAACAUGGGGACCAAAUGUGAAAUCGGUGCAAACUUGAGGGAUGAAUUUCGGUGCAAGUCUUUGAUGAGACAAAGUAUGUAUAAUUCACAAAGGGAAACUAAAUUGUGCUUACUGCUAUUCGAAUAAUGUUGUACCACUGUAUCAGGAAAUUUGGAUCGAGAUUUUGGACUGAUUCUUCGGCUUUCAUGCCAACCUUUAGAAGCAAUUCUACGUGUUUCGAGUAAAGGUGAUUUUAACAUAUUUUUCUGCUAAAAGAAGUCUCUUUUAUCUGAAUUGGUUUUCAUUACGGUAUUCUUCUUAAUUUGUAUCUUUUUAUUGCAGGUUUCUGAUGGACGAGAGAGAUAAUAUUUGAUGCUGCUAUGUUAACAGCUUAAUCGAUUUGUUCGUUUGCUAAUCGCAAUUAAGGACUUGUCCGGAUUUUCUUGUUUUUUAAUAGAUUAAUUUACGGGUUUUGUUUAUUUUGGAGUAAUCAGUGUUUGUGAUUAUUCUCUGCCUGUUAGUUUGAGGAAUAAUUCUUAUGUUUUGGGGGUGUUGAGGUUGACUAUAGUAAUUCGACGUAUGGUAUAUAAACAGGGGUGUAAACGAAUCGGGUCGAACCGAACAUAUGGUUUGAAUGUUUAUCAAGCUUUCACAGUUGUAUAUAAGUUUUGUUCGAUAAAGAAAUUCAGCCGAGCCCGAACGAGCUUUAAUCUUACAAUAACUUAUGUUUUAAUUAUUCCUGAUACCAAAAUCACCCGACUCGAUUAUAUUACCAAAUUAACGAGAUUUGAGUUGCAAUAGAAAGUUUUCAUAUUCAAAACGAAAUAAUUUUGUAUAAGAAAAAAAAUCAAUCAAUGAAUGCCACAUGUAGACUUGUGAUUCUUUCACUUUGCGUCAUCGAUAUGCUAGCAAGAUGCUUAGUCAUGAGAUAAACUCAUUUUCAAAAUAAUCCAAUCACACCGUGCCACGUAUUUAGGGGAUGCCACAUGUCGUUCAUUUUGCGCAAAUCGACGUCACGGCUCUCUGUCUCCCCUCUAUAAAAGAACCCUUCAUUUCCCCAUUGUAGUAUCCAUUGUUUUCCUUGAACUUCUUUCUUUUACAAAGAAAUGUUUGUUUUAAGUUCUUAGGAGUGAACCUUUGAGGGUAAAUGAGGUAAUUAGAACCUCUUAUACUUGUAUACUACAAUCUUCAAAUUUUAUUACAAGUGUUGUUUUUAUUUAAAAUGUUUGAAUUCUUCUCUUUGAGCGAUUCUAAAAAUAUGUUUGUCCAAUCAUUACUUUGAUCGUUGGUAUCUAUAAGAUCCUCUAAAAGCAAUAGUAUUGCCUCAACUUUUUUCAUCAAGAAGUCUCUUGACUGAGGAUUCUUGUCUUUUAACAUACCGUUUCUUGAUCCUAUUCGCUUUUUCAUAAACGGGGGCGGCCGAUGGUCCCCCCUGCAUUGCUGGACGACACUCGUGAAUCCUUUGGGAUCUCAGUUUUUAACCAAUAACCAUUUCUCUUCCUCUUAUUUAUUUUUUCCUAAAUUAGAUUAUUGCAUUGAUUUUCAAUUAAAUUACCCAACAUAAAUCCACAAUUAAAGAAAAAAGUAAGUCUUCCCUUUUUACCCUUUAUACUACUAGUACAUAUUUUGUUUUGAAUUAAGAAAGGUUUCUUCUAAAGUUUUUGGCAAUCAACAUAGUUUUUUGUUGCUUUCAGGAAAAGAGAAGCUUUUUACAUCUUUGUUGAGACGGUAAAUCUGAAAAAUUGAUUGAAAUUUCAAUCGUAACCAAUCGAAGAAAUUGAAUUUCCCCGAAACAAUGGUGGACAGCUGGACAUCAACGAAUUAAUCCGAAUACGAAAAAAUUAAGAAGAAGAAAACGGUUGUUUGAUUAAUUAAAUGGUCUUGAAGGAAUCACGUGUGUCGUGCAGGGUGAAUCAUCCGGCGUCCCCGUUUAUGAAGAAGCUAUAUAAGAACAAGAAAGAGUAUGUAAAAAGAUAAGGAUUCUCAAUCAAGACAAUACUUGAAGUAAACUGUAUUGGCAAUACUGUUGUUUCAUAUAUAUAUAUAUAUAUAUAUAUAUAUAUAUAUAUAUAUAUAUAUAUAUAUAUAUAUAUAUAUAUAUAUAUAUCGUAGUAUCAAUGUCAAUUUAAUAAUGACAAAGUCGUGGAUUUUAAUUUAUUGCAAUUUUUGUAUCCAAAAUCCAAAUAGCUUUUUCUCAAUCAAGACACUAUUGUUUAUCACAGUUGUGUUUUCUCUAUAAUGAGAGUUAUUUGAUAUUAUUAAUCGAAAUGCUAAUUGUAGCGGGACUUUUACUGAAAUUGGCUUAUUUGCAGCGAUAGUCUUAUUUGUCAAUUUUCUAACUUUCUAAAAAAUCAAAACUCUCUCAACUAAAAAAAGUCGAAAACUUCGAAUCUGAAGGUCGUUCGACAAAUUCGAAACCAAACACAACAUUUUUUUUAUGGCUGAUCCAUAUUACUUUUACAAGGUAAAAAUAAAGGGAAAAAAAGAAGGGAGAUCGUGCUCUGCAACACGUAGGGUAUAAAAGAAAAGAAAAAACUUGAAGUACCCUUCCUCUAGGGGACGGGAGUAUAGGUUUUAGUUUUUUUUUUGUUUACUUUACUUUAUUUCUUUAGUAUUAUUUGGUAGUGUGAAGAUGGUGAUUUUGACGAAAAAUUUGACGAUGAAUAUACAAACGAGUACAAUAAUCCGAAUAUGUGUUAUCAUGUUCCUCAAAUAAUUACAAAAUUCGAUAUUUAAAAAAAAAUAUAAAAAAAAAAUAAAAUAAAAUGAAAAAAUUAAAACAUGAAGUUCCCGUUGUUCCCGUGUUCUGCAGCACGGGCGAUUCACAUUUUAAAUUUUUCUUUUCUGAAAAAAAAAAUUAAAAAGUUUUUUGAGCUUCCCGUUCCACAGAGCACGAAAACUUGAAGAAAGUUCAAGUUUCCGUGCUCUGCAGGACGAGAAGUUAAAAAAACUUGAAUUCUCCGUUCUAGAGAGCACAAAUAUUGAAAAAAUACCGGAAUCGAGCCUCGUUUGCUGCGGAUUGAAAGUCGAAUUUUUUUUCGAAAUUCAAUUGUCUUGAGAGAGUUUUGGAGCAGGAGAGUGAAUUUAAAAAAAAAUUAAAUGAAAAAGAUUCCGCUGUAUUCAGUAAAAGCCCCGCUGCAAAUAGCAACACCCGAUUAUUAAUAUUGGCAUUAGAAAAUCAAAAUCUAGUGUAAAAAUAUGGACUCAAAAAAAAGGAAAAUUAUCCUUCACCUAAUUGUACUUUCACAGUUUGUUUGAUGCCGGAUGAUUAUUAACUUUUGAUCUGCACACAAUCACACAAACACCCAUGAAUGUGUGAUUCACCUAAUGGUACUUUCACCCAUGUGAUUAUCACGUGCCAAUUGAAGGGCAAAAUUGUACUUUGAGUUAAACAUGACAUUAACCCACCAUUUUCUCCUUUCAACUUUCAUCACGCAUGACUAGUCAACCAUUGCUGCCUCCAUUUCUGUACACCAUUCAUUUUCUUUCUCUCGCAUUUUUUUUAUUAUCCUAAGAUACACUCAUACUAUAGUACUACAGAGGAUUUUUGAUUCUUCUUGAUUCUCAACCUCAAGAAUUGUUCUGAAAACCAAUUCGAUUUUCGGGAGAGAUAGAGAGAGAGAGAUGGCGGCUUACGCAGCUCUACUUUCUCUCAGGCAUAUCAUCGAACAGCUUCAGCAUCACCCUUCCCCUCCAAUUUCUCUUGACCAAAACCAGGUCCAAUCUCUCACCGACAACCUCAAUUUCUUGCAAGAGUUUCUUGAGCAGGGAUAUCCUUGUGUUGGCAUCAGCAAAGAAGCAAUUGAUGUUUUUGAAAGUCGAAUUGCAGAAGCAGCUCAUGCAGCCGAAGAUAUAAUCGAAACCCGAAUUGUUGAUCAAAUUCUUGGUGGAUCGAAAAAAACGAAGAGUACUAGAAUGCAAGAUCAUCUGCUCAGAAUUUUGUCCACUUUUUGUGGUGCUGGUUCAUCAAGAUCUCCUUCAACGAGGCAGAAUGUCGUAGCUGGUUUAGAUCUCGAUAAGGUGAUCCAAGACAUGGGUUUAAUCAAGAAAGAUGUGAUGGAGAUUAAAGAUAAUAAUAUUGGAAUAAUCGAAGAUCACCUGCACAAAAAUUCUUCAACUCUUGCUGGUGCUGCUUCAUCAAGGUCUCAUUUAACAACGAGGCGGGAUGCCGUGGUUGGUCUUGACGAGCUCUUGAUUGAAGUAAUGGAUAAGCUCACUGGACAACAAUCUAAUCUCCGCAUAAUCCCGAUUGUUGGAAUGGGCGGCAUUGGUAAGACUUCUCUUGCUAGAAAUGCUUACGUUAAGUUUAUGAAGCACUUUGAUAUUCGAGCUUGGGUUACGAUAUCUCAAAACUACAAUGUGCGAGAAAUUCUUUUAGAAAUUCUUCUUUGUAUAAACAAAGCUGAGAGCCUGGAAAGCUUGAGUGCGAAGAGCGAAGGUGAAUUAGGUGAAAGAGUACACAAAACUUUAUGGGGCAGGAGAUAUUUGAUUGUAUUGGAUGAUAUUUGGAGUGCUGAGGCAUGGGAUAAAGUGAAUCUCUUCUUUCCAGAAAAUGGUCAAAGAAGCAGAAUAAUGAUAACCACUAGGCUAUUAGACGUUGCUUCGAUUGGCUCUCAUGGCGUUGUGAUGGAUUUCUUAAAUGAGGAUAAGAGUUGGGAUCUACUGUGCAGAUCUGUAUUUGAAGAAGAAGAAGAUUGCCCUCCUGAAUUGGAGGAAAUAGGAAAGAAGAUUGCCACAAAUUGCAAAGGACUUCCUUUGUCACUCGUUGUGAUUGGAGGACACCUAGCGAAGUCUAAGCGCACAAGAGAACAUUGGGAAUAUAUUUCAGAAAACACAAAAAAUAUUGUAAAUUCGGAAGACGAUGAACGUUGCUUAAAAGUAUUACAAUUGAGUUAUAACCAUUUGCCGAUACAUCUAAAGCCAUGUUUUCUUUAUAUGGGAGUUUUUCCUGAGGACAAAAAGAUCCGUGUCUCGUGUCUCGUAAAACUAUGGGUUUCUGAAGGAUUUGUGAAACCAAUUAAGGGCAAAAGCUUGGAAGUGGUUUCGAGAGAGUACUUGCAGGAGCUCUGUGAUAGAAACCUGAUUUUAGUUCAUAAAAGGGGGUCUAGUGGGAAAAUAAAAUAUUGCAAAAUCCAUGAUCUCUUGAGGGAACUAUGCUUGAGAGAAGCUCAGAGAGAGAAGUUCUUUUAUGUCACAAGACCGCAUGAACUUACCAUUCCACAGGGCAUAAAUACGCAACGCCGCAUUGGUAUUCAUCAAAGCAUGUCGGAGAAGGAUCCAAUCCUUCGUACGUUGCAAUAUGUGCCUCUUGUUCGUUCUUUGAUUGGCAAAUUUGGAAAAGGUUUACCAUUACUUGAUUUUAGAUUGUUGAGGGUGCUGAAAGCCGAUGAUGAUAAACCUUUAUUUCACAAGAUCGGCACACGAAACAAGUAUUCCUUAGAAGUUGUCUUUCGGCUGAUUAACCUGAGAUUCAUUGCUAUCCAAUCUGAUGGGCUUAAAAAUUCCGGAUUUCCUUCUUCAGUCAAUCUCCUUUGGAAUCUACAGACUUUAAUUGUAAAUCGUACCUUUGGCGGUGUUGCACCAUGUGAAAUUUGGAACAUGACUCAACUUAAGCAUGUUCAUUUCCUUCAUUUUGAGCUGCCUGAUCCUCCUAUCGGUGCGAAAGAUGACGAAUUUGUUUUGGGGAACCUACAGACGCUCUCGAGAAUAAGAAAAUUCAAAUGUGGAGAAGAGGUGGUCAAGAGAAUCCCCAAUAUCAAUAAAUUACAAAUAUCUUACUCAAAUGAACCUCAGGGAUUAUUGAGUUACUGUCUCGACAAUCUUGGCCAUUUACAUAAACUCGAGUCCUUGCGUUUCACCAUUGGUACCCUUUUUAAGCAACCCCCGAAUGAUUGGGUGCAGAAUUUCAUCCUCCCCAAUUCCCUCAAGAAGUUGACUUUGAUGGGGACCAAGCUCAAAUGGGAAGACAUGAAGACAAAGAUAGGUUGGUUACCUAAUCUUGAAGUCCUCAAACUGAGGUACAAGUCCUUUGUGGGGACCGAGUGGGAAACAGCUGAAGGGCAAUUCUGCAACCUUAGAUACUUGCUAAUCAGCAGUUGCAGUGACCUGGAGUGGUGGACAACAGACAGCAACCACUUUCCACGCCUUGAGCAUCUUCAUCUUGAGGACUUGGAUAAGUUGAAGGAGAUCCCUUCAUGUAUUGGAGAAAUAUCAACGCUUCAAUCGAUUCAGUUGCUUUCGUGUAGCGACGAAGCUGUCAUUUCUGCUGAACAAAUAUUGAAGGAACAAUAGGAUUUUGGCAAUGUAGACUUUCGACUCGUAGAGUAAGAAUAGUCCCAACUUUCAAGUUGAAUCUUGGUGAGAACUCAAUCUUCAUAACAUGAUCCUUCUGCUAUAUAUAUAUAUAUAUAUAUAUAUAUAUAUAUAUAUAUAUAUAUAUAUAUAUAUAUAUAUAUGUGUGUGUGUGUGUGUGUGUGUGUGUGUGAUAAUUUUAUUUUUAGGAUUAAAUUCUUUUAAACUAAUUUGCGAUCUUCUCUGUCUACAUCUAGUCCAUGCACAUUUGAUUUUGAGUCCUUACAGCAAUAUACAAUGAACCUACAUGGAGCAUAAAUCGAAGAAUGGAGGCCUGGGAGCGGAUCGCUUGUCGCGUUAUUGAACUUAGAUUAACAAUUUGGUAUGUUGGAAUUUACAAUUCAUUGUUUUAAUGUUGAAGAUACCUUCUUCCUGUCAUUCGAUUUGGCGUGAAAUUUAGCCUCCGGUUAAUUUAUUGGAAGCAUUUGUGUGAGCUUGUAAACAAUUUCUACUUUGGUUUUCUUUCAUGUAAUUUCCUUUUUGAGGCUUUGUGUAAUAGUUGGUUUUUUAACAUUUGAACUGGAUUUUAUGCUUCGUUAUAGGGGUACUCUUUUCCUUGAAAAGCUCGUAAAUGAUGAAACAUCACGUAUUUAUGAUUUGUUUGACGAAAUCGAUAUUUGUUGUGAAAUAUUCCAUUGAACCAAAGAGACUCCGUCAAAAUUCACACCGUAAGGGGACUGUGUAAGACGGCUACAAACUUCAGGGGAGUUUUGAUCAUUAUGGAUACGUGAGGGUUUUUCUUUUCUUUCGUAAAUUGACCUUAAUUAGUUCAGAGGGUUUCUCGUAAUUUACCCUUAUUUUUUUGAUCUAAUAAGUAGUCAGUUAAGCAUUCAUACAGAGAUAUAAAAUCUAAUUGUCAUCUGUAUUAGUGACAGUACAGAACAAUGCCAUGUGUGGUAGUAUUGCAAUUUUACAAUAUUAAAUUCAUCAAAGAAAAGUUUUGAAAGUAGCACUAAAAAAAUUAUUUUUCGUUAAUUCAUUUUUCGAAAGUAUCAAUUAUGUUUGAUUGAAGCGUAAAGUAAUUCACCUAGCAUCGUUUAUUAUAUUUCGGACGGGUUUCCUCUGUUUCGUUAAGAUAAGCUAAUUGAAAUACUGGAUUGUGUCAGUCUUUUAUGUAUCUGUUUAUUCGUUGCUGUACAAUCAAAAUCAAUUUGUACAAUCAAAAUCAAUUUGAACACUCAGUUACCGCAAAUAGAUCACGAAUUCGUGAUCGUUCAUCAUUUGCAAACUUUUCAAGAUUUGUAGAAUUAAUCCAGCAGUUGGGUCUCGAUUGAAUCAAUUAAAUUCCAAAUAAACAUGAACAUUUGAAGAAACUCCAAAUUUCUCUCGCACACUAAAGAAAACCAAAUAGAAAUCGUUGACAACCUCACACAAAUGCUUGACAAGCUCAAAAAUUUACCAAAUAAGAAAAAUGAAUUGUAAAUCCAGCAUAGCAAAUUGUCAAUCGAACUUCAAUAAUUCGACAAGCAAUCGUCUAUCGGACCUCCAUUAUAUAUCCGAUUUAUGUUACGUAUGUAGGUUCAAAGUAUGUUGCUGGUUGUACACACACUAUGUUAAAGAAAACGACAGAAAUCAUUAUUGACUAAAUUAAACCAGGAAGAGAUAUAUUCUUUCCUUUCACGAUUUAUCGAAACGGUAAAAGAGCGUAAAUCAAUGAAGAUUCAGUUCUCACCAAGUUUGAACUUGAAAGUUGGGAUAUUAGUUUUCAAAGGAUUAAAUCCUAAACACUUAGAAACAUAACAUAAAUCCGUAUAUGUUGAUAUUCGAUCAGAAGGAAAACUCAAAGUUGUUCUAAUGAACCCUAUCAAGAGUUUUAGAUAACAAGAAACGGUAAAGAGGGGCAAAAUGGGAAUAAGUGUUCUUGGAAGUAUUAGGUCAAAAAAACAUGCAGUAUGAGAAAUAGUGACCCCUAAUAAAAUUAUGAGUGGUGAAUAUUCACUCUCAUCAAUUGCUAGGCCUAUCCCUUUGUUUUCUUGUUUUUUAGUUCAUCAACUUUUGUUUUGUCCAUCUUUGCCCUUUAUUUAUUUCUUUUAUUUUUAUAUUUCCUUUACAAGCGGAAGAAGGCAAAUUACGACUACCCCUGGAGGGAGUUAGAUGCUACACGUGGUUAUUUAUAUUGGGUGAAUUUAAAUAGUAAAUUUAAUUGAAUAAAUAUCCACUAAGCACACAUAUACAUGUGUGUAAUUAUGUGCAGAUACGCCGUUUGAAUCCACCCAAUCUAUAUCUAUAUCUAUUCUAUACUACUUAUAAAAGUAUGAAUAGGUAGGAUGUUUCUUCCAAUUUUUGUACAUCCAAAAAUACCCCAUUAAUAGAUAAGAAUAAAAGGUCAAAUAGGUAAAUUGAUUAUCAUUUUUUUACUAAUUUAUAAAUUGUUAAUACCUUAUAUAAGUUAUUAUAGUCAAAUAUUAAUUAAAUUGAUCAAUUACAAUUCAUUGAAUAACUACCUUAAAUAAAUCAUACAAAUACGUAUUUAGCAUUUGUUAAUACAAAAUGCAAAGUAUACAAACCAUUUCACAUUUAGUCUUUACACCUUCUUGAUUUUCUUGAUUUUUCUUAUUUUUGGCUUGAGUCUUAGAUUUACACCUCUUUUUAAUCAUGUUUUCUUCACCAGAAAUUCACAAAAUUACUUUUGGCACUCACAAAAGUUGCCAAAACAUGGUUGGAUCUUCUAGAUCUAUUUAUUAUUAUUAUUUUCUUCGUGGCAUAAAUUCUUCCAUUUGCAGGCAACUCGAAUUCAAAUCAUUGUUCUCAAUGAAGGUGAGUGGAUUUUGGCAGUUAGGAAUUUGUGUAGUCUCAAGUUUUUAAUUUACGUUCCUAAUACCCCAAACAAUUUUUGUGCAACUUUUCCAGCAUAAAAGACAAAAUAAUAUAUGUUUUUCUAAUCUAUUUUAUAUUGGACAAAUUUUCUAGACAUAAAAAAAUAAGGUUACACCAUAAUUCACCACGACACCACCACCUGGCCACAGCCAUACAAAAUGAGGAGAAUCGGACAAGAACCAUCGGUGACCACAUAACAUCUUACGUCGAUUUUUUAAGAGGUAGCUCUUCGCAUUUUGGGGUUUCAAUAAUGGCCAGCAAUGCCGAUAUGCACGGUGACCAGAAUUUUUUUUAUAAUUAUUAUAAAUAAUACAUUUAAAACAUAUUUAGUAACUAUUCGUCAAUUUUACCUUUUUAUGUUGACUUGUAUUUGUUAUAUAUUCUUUUCUUGGGUGACUGGUUUUGGCUUCAAAUUUUCUAGAUCACAUAAGUAUUUAUUGACAACAACAAAUAUAAUAUACUUGAGGCUGGAUUGCAAAUUUGGAGCCAUCGAAAUUUCAGUACUUACAAUUUUAAUAGAUAAAUUUAAUAAGUUUCCGUUAUAUUAUUUCUUCAAUCGUUGAUGAUUGUUUUAUUAAUUUCGGAAGGUUUAAUUCCAGUUUGCAUCCUCGAGAAUGCAUCGCCAAAAACAAAUUAAUAUCACGUUCACCCCAACAUAAAUUUUAAAGGUUAGUGAAGAUAAUUUCAUUUAUUAGUAGCAUUUAUAAAUGAAGUGAUAAAUAUAAUUCAAAUAAUAGAAUUCUAUAAAAAAAAAUCAAAAUUAUUGGAUGUGUACCUCCCUUAUUAGAAUUGGUAAAAAAAAUUGAUGAUUUUUUUGUAUGAAACGAUAUUAUUUAUGUAAUUUGGUGAAAAAAAUAGUUGAAGGGUAGAAAAGUUAAAAAUUUAAUAAUUUUGCACCAAGAAAAUAAAUAUUUUUGUAUGGAUGUAUUCACGGAUGGUAUUUUCAUCUUUAGUGUCAAGUUAAAUUGUUUGGUUCUCCCCACAAUUCAACCAUUUUCUCAAUAUUUUACUAGAAAAUUUCCGCAAAUUAUGCUCUUUUUUGCCAAAGAUCUACCAAACAAAUACUUCACUUCGAGAAUUUUGCUAAAAUAUCAAUUGAGAUGCAAUGUGAAUGAUUUACCUUUUGAGAGUGCAAGUGAUAAUAUUUUUCCCUGGGGGUGCAAAGUGUCAAAUGCUAUAUUUUGAGAAUAGUGUAGAGAGAAAAUGAAAUUAAGUUGUAAAAUCUUCUCAAAAUUUCAAUAAUUUUGAGUGACAUAUUUAGGAUUUAGGGUUAACAUUUAACUCUCUGCAAAUACUGUAAAUUUACUCAUUUUCUUGAUUUACAUUUCAUAUUUGUCUUUUAGGGUCUUUGUGCAUAAGUACCCGACCAAUCAUCUUUAUUAUUCUAGGUUCAUGGGCUAUAUAUUUUUCGCCAAUAAACCUAUCCCUUUUAAUACGUAUUAUAAAUAAAGGAAAAAUUAAUAUAUACGACAAAAUUACCCCCUACCCUUACGCCCAAUUCUUAAUUGCAACCCCAAUUUCAUCAAUUUUGACCACAGAAAAAAAAAAGAUCCAAUUUUGACUUUUUGUUUUUCAAAACUUUUUUUUUUCUGAAAUUAUAUUUUCUGGUCUGUUUUUAAAGAAAAAAAUUCUUUCUUUUUCUGGUCUGUUUUUUCCGGCGUUGACUUUUAAAGAAAAAAAUUCUUUCUUUUUUUGGUCUGUUUUUUCCGCCGCCGGUUUCCGGCGUUGACCGCCGUCUCCGGCGUUGACUUUUUUUUAUUUUUUUUCCAAAAAAAAUUAUCCAUUUUUUUACGCCCGCCGCUAAAUAUUGACCAUAAUUCAUUAACAAUAAUUAUAUUGUUACUGAUAGUACAUUAUCGUAAUUAUACUUCCGUUGACAGUACAUUAACGUAAUUGUAUUGUCAGCGACAAUAUUAAUUUUUUUUGGCUUUUUUUUAGUUUGAUUUGUUGACAGUAAUAUUACUGUCAACCACAUCAAUAUUAAUUCUUUUGGCUUUUUAUUAUAUUUACUUUUUUUGAAUGGUCAACAUAUUAAUAUUACUCUAUUACACAAUAAUAAUGACUUUUGUUGUGUUAAUAUUACUGGGCUAGAGAUUAAUAUAACAAUAUUGAUGUGUAAAACUGAAGUAUAGUUAAUAUUACUAUGUUUAAUAGUAAUAUAGUUAAUAUUACUGUCAACCACAACAAUAUUGUUGUUUAAACGGGGGCAAAAAAAUGUUAAAGAUUUUUUUUUGAAAAAGUCAAUGCCGGAGACUGGCGAAAAAAUCAGGAGGAAUUUUUUUUUCCAGAAAAGUCAACGCCGGAGACCGACGGAAAAAUCAGGGAAAAAAAAAAAAGCCAACGCCAGAGUCCGGCUGCAACUGACGAAAUUAUACUCAAAAUUGUGUUUUGGGUCAAAAUUGAAUAAUUUGUGAAAUUUGGGGUCAAAUUGAGGUUAAAUUAAAUUAAAGAAUGACAUUGAAGCGUAUUAAAAUGUGAAGGGCUAUUUUAGUCUUUUACAAACCUCUGGACUAUGUGUGGACUGUUUUAUAAGAGAGUUUUUUAUCAGGACCCCUUUAUGAAUAAGUAUCCCAUGAUGGGCUUAUUUGUAAAGUGCCCUUGUGUUUUUGGGUUAUGAAUAUGAUCACAAGUGUGUAGUAACAUUUGAUUACUUGUUUUACAUUAUAUUACAAAGUUUGUAUAAAAAUUAAUCAUGCAUGCCAGUGAAAACAUUACUACAAUGAUAUUUACCCAAAAAAAAUAUAUUUUAACUCACUCAAAUUUAAUUUACCCAAAUUUAGCAAGAAAAAAAUAGAAAAUAGAAAAGGACUUCUCUGACCCUACAGCCGGUGAUAAACAUCUGGUGGAUCUUCAGCUGUCACGCGUCAUUUUUUGUAUUUUAUAAUAUAUUCUCCCGGUUGGGUUUACCUUUAGAGAUUUUAGAAAGAAAAAAAGGCACGUGGCAGCAGAAGACCCACCCGGUGUUUAUCACCGCGUGUAGGGUCGAAUGAGCCAUACAAAAUAAGGGUCAGGGAAAUGAAUCAAUGAAAUUCCUAUCAUUGCAAACUUUUGAGAAGUUUUCUUACUUACUAUGUGAAUGGGAAGUCUUGACCCAUAAGUUAGGAAAAUCAAUGUAUUUAACUUUGUUUGUAUUCCAAGUCCACACUGUUUCAGUGGAGCAGUUGAACAACCAACUUUGUUUCAUACCUUUUAAAAAAAAUCAACUUAGUCCCCAAAUUGUAAGGGUAUUAUUAAAAUAAUGAGAUAUUUUCAUAACUUACACUUUCACCCCUCAAUUGGAAUUUUCUUCAUUUCACCAUUUUGCAAUUUUAAAGGUAUUUUAGGUAUUGUUGCAACAUUAUUGUGAUAUAUAUUUGGAGUUCACUUCAAGAUUUGAAAACAAAAAUCAAGAUAACGAAAAAUUAAAAAAAUGGUUAAUGGGAUCAUGAAUGCAAAUAUAAGAAAUAAAAAUUAUAUGUAUCUAAGCAUGUUAUAUUGUAAUAUUAUACAAAGUUGGACUAUAAAUACCUUAGCUUGAUACAUUCAAUGAAUUCUAUUUUCAAAAAGAAAAAUAAUGACAAUAAUAAUCUAUCUAUCCAAGAAAAUAUGAUAGUGUUACAAGAAGAAGUUGCAAGCAAAAACUAAUACAUAUGAGAAGAAACGGGUAAAUAACAUUUUCUAAUGAUCUUCCUCCUCAUAUACAGAAGCUACUCUUUCUGGAUCGCAUUGGAAUUCCUAAUUUCCGUGGACCUUUUUGGAUGAUUUUCUACCAAGCUGUUGUGAAGAGAAGAGCCUAUAUGCAUUUUUUCCUUUUCAUACCCACCAGGGGUCAGAAUGCCAUUUUCGUAAGUUGGAAUGGUCAUCAUACGCUUGGAAGAUGCUUAUUUCAUUUUGCCACCCUGACCCCUUUUGCGAAUAAUCUUAGUAGUUUUAUUUUCGUUUUUUCGGCCCACUUUUGGGGUUUAUUUGUAAUAGAUUGUAAUAGGUUUCCCCUUCUCUAUUUUUAUUCCAUAUUUUCUUGGAGGUACUCUUUUCCUCGUGUAGGCCCACAAAAUUUUUAACAAGACCCUGUGUACUUGUCCUUUCAAGUAUUUAAUGAAGUAAAAAAAAAUUGGCAAAAAAAAAAAAAAAAAAUUCUCCAAUAAUGAUCAAUGUGAAAAAAAAAACAAGAUGAAAGAUAAUAAAAAAUAAUUAAAUGAAAUCUUGAAUACAAAUAUAAGUAGAAAUAAUCAAUCUAAACAUAUUGUAAUAUUAGACAAAGUUUGACUAAUGAAUAAUAUCAAUAUACUCUAAAUAACUUUAAUAUUUUAAUAUAUAUUAUAAUUUCGAUUGAAUAAUAAGCCAAAACAAACCCAAAAGAAACAAAAUAAAUUGACCCAAGACGUGCAACGCACGUCCACCUUCCUAGCGUAAAUAAAAAUCAAAUGAUGAAAAACUCUAUAUGUUUGGCUAAUUACAACCAUCCCCACAACUAUAUAUUUUAUUUAAAAAGAACCCUUCUCAGUAGGUGAGUUGACACCUGUAACAGUGGACGUGUAAAAUAACCAGCGAUAAGUACAUUUAAUUUAAAAUAUCAGUGUAAAAUGAUUAUAUUUGCUAUAUAAAUAAUAUUAAAUAAAUUAUUAAUUUUCAUAUUAUUAUUAUUACUAUUAUUAUUUAAUAAUAUUAAUUAAAUUAUUAACAAAUGUCAAAUAACAAAAUUUGAAUAAUAUAAAGAACCACGGUUCAAUAUUCCCAGACAAGAAUAUAUUUAUAACAAAAAUAUGGAUAUAUUUAUUUUAACAAAAAUAGGUUAUAACUCAUUCUAAUAUUUUUUCUGCUUUAAAAUAAAAUUAAAGAUGAUGAGUAGAAUUAAAAUAUUAUGUUGUGAUUUUUGUUUUGAUACUUGGUUUGAUAGUAUUUUAAAGAGAAAAAGGGUUGACUAACAUAUUAAUCGGAUUAACUAUUUAUAAUUAAAGUAUAAUAUCUUUUAAUUAAGUUUUAUCAUAUAAAUAAAAUAAUAAAAUAUAAUUCGUAACAAUCGUAAGAAUAAUUUUUUUAAUAGUAAGAUAAUUUGAAUCGGUUGUGCUCAAAUUCUUUCAAUUCGUAAACUUAACUCAAAGUUUUGAAUUGAUUAAACUCAACUAUUGACAAUGACGUAUUAAUCAAAUUAACUAUUUAUAGUUAAAGUGAUAUUUCUUAAUUGAAUUUUAUCAUAAAAAGUAAAAAAAAUAAUAAAAUAUAAUUUGUAAAAAACAUACGAACCAAAUGUUAACCCUUCGGUUAAAAGAGUUAUGGACACACGCUUGAUUUCGUUAGUUUUAACGAAAAAUUGACGGAGGACUAAAAAUGUGGAAUUUUUGGUACAUAAGGGACCAAAUGUGUUUUUAUGAACAUAGAGGACCAAAUAUAAAAUUAGUUCAAAAUUGAGGGGCAAAAACUAUAUUUUUCCCCUUUUAAUUAAUAUUCAUUUAAAAUUCUGAAAUGAUUUGUGCAGACACAAUUUAAUCGUGCAGGCACUUUUUUUUACCAUUCUUGAAAAAUCAAAAGGUAAAUUUCCACGAAAACUCUCUCAAGCUUUUGGACUUCGAUUUCAGAUCCCGACCGAGACGAUAACAGAUCGGAGGUAAUUCUUACAUUUUUUUGAUUGUUUCGUUACGCAGAUUACGAUUAUUGAUUUUUUUUUUAAACGAAGCAUUUUGUUUUACACGCGUGAUUCUACACGAGUACAGUGGAGUUACUCGUGUAGAACCACGCGAGUAAUUUUUUUUUCUUUUUUUUUUUCGUAUAUUUUUGAUUAAAAGAAAUUAAAAAAAAUUGAGGUCGUGUGUUAUUAUGCGAACAGGGGUUUGUGCUCGUGUCAAACCACACGAGCUCAGUUCAUCGAGCUCGCAUAAAAUCACACGAGCUCAAAUGUUUUUUUUUUAUUUUUAUUUUUUAUUUUUUUGGCUGCUCAUGUGAAAACACGCGAGCAAAUCUAUUUUACUCGCGUGCCUGCACACGAGUAAAAUUGGUCUACUCGCAUGUUUUCACAUGAGCAACUUUAUUUAUCUAUUUGAUUAUUAUUUUUUUUUUAAUUUUUAAUUUUUUUAAAAUUAAAUACUAAUUCAGUUUUUUUUGUUAAAUUGUAGAUGGCCGGAGGUAGAGGGAAAAGUUUAAUGAGUCCAGUUACGGGAAAAGGUACGAGUUUAAUGAAAGCUUUGGGUCGGAAGUCGAACAAUCCGGAUGAUCCGGAUCGUAUUGGAGAUCGGGGAGUUCUUGCAUCCGAUCAUAGAAGGAAAGCGACGGCAAGAGAAUAAGCAAAGAGAGCGAGGGAAGAAGCUACUGCAGUCGGAGUCGGGCCUUCUAAUGAUCUUCAAGCCGAUCAUGUUCGUACUCAGUUGCAGUAUGCGUCUGAUUAUGACGAAGAGAUGGUGGCUAAUGAUGACGGCGAUGAUGACGAGGAGAUGGUGGCUAAUGAUGACGGCAAUGAUGAUCAUGAUAGCGGGGAGGCGACAAGUAAAGGUGGUCGUGUCAUAAAUUUUACAAUUUUGGAUGGUCCGCCGUAUUUGAAGGGUCCGUGCGAGGGAGGGCCGGAAAUUUGGAGUUUGUGCGUUGGUUCAAGUCGCAUAUAACGAUCUAUGUUUGGGAUGUACAUGUAAGUUUGUUUUUAAUACGUGUUUUAUAUAUUUUAUAAUUUGUGUUUUUCGCUAUCUAAUAAAUGCAAUUAAUUAGGAACGUCGUGCUACUGGACGGGUCGAGUCAAGAAAUAGAGCACUGGAAACCUACCUCGGCCCGCAGGAUGACAUGAUGAUUAGCAGGUUGGAGGCAACCGGGCUUUACCACUUACGACACUGUUGGCUCCCCAAUAUGAAUCAACAAUUAAUGUUAGCGUUCGUUGAGAGGUGGCAGCCGGAGAUGAACACCUUCCACAUGCCGUGGGGAGAGAUGACGAUCACGCUCCACGACGUUGCUUUCAUCAUGGGAUUGCGAGUGGACGGACCGUUAGUGGCAGAAGUUUCUAAAGCAUUAGAGUGUUCCCAAAGUUUUGCAUCUCUGUUGGGGCUCGGGGUGAUGACUACGACUGACAUGUUUCGAAAUAAGGGAAUUAAUUGGACAAAGGUGCAAGAGCUCUUGAGCAAGCCAUCUGCCACGGACGAGAAGAAGAUGCAAGGAUAUCUGAUGUUUCUACUGGGGUCGGUUUUGUUUGUAGACAAAACAUCUUCGAUGAUGAAGCCGUGGUGGAUACAUUAUACGAAUAAUAUAGACGGCCAGUAUUCGUGGGCUGCGGCUUGCUUAGCAAACAUGUACCGAGUAUUCUCUGUUCGCGUGAAAUCACGCGAGUAAGUUUUUUUUUUUUUUUUUUUUUUUAUAUAAUUAAGGUACUCGCGUGAUUUCACGCGAACAGAGAAUACUCGGUACAUGUUUGCUAAGCAAGCCGCAGCCCACGAAUACUGGCCGUCUAUAUUAUUCGUAUAAUGUAUCCACCACGGCUUCAUCAUCGAAGAUGUUUUGUCAACAAAAAAAACCGACCCACGCAGAAACAUCAGNNNNNNNNNNNNNNNNNNNNNNNNNNNNNNNNNNNNNNNNNNNNNNNNNNNNNNNNNNNNNNNNNNNNNNNNNNNNNNNNNNNNNNNNNNNNNNNNNNNNACAAGAUUUUUACGCUGAUCGACUAGCUUUGUGGACGACGUUUAGUACUAGGCAUAGGUAGAUUUGGCGUAUUUUUUAUGUUUUUGUAUGUCGAACUUUGUUGUUGUACUUGGAUAUUAAACUUAUCUAUAGUAUUUGGAUGUUGAACUUUGUUAUUGUAUUUGGAUGUUGAACUUAUCUAUGGUAUUUGGGUGUUGAACUUUGUUAUUGUAUUUGAAUGUUGAACUUUGUUAUUCGUUUUUUUAUAUUUUGUAAAAUAAAAUAAAAAAGUAUUAAUACGGCUACUCGCGUGAUUUCACGCGAACAAGGAUGUUUUGCUCGCGUGAAAUCACGCGAGCAAAACAUCCAGGUUCGCAUGAAAUCACGCGAGUAGACGUAUAUAUACUUUUUUAUUUUAUUUUACAAAAUAUAAAAAAACAAAUAACAAAGUUCAACAUUCAAAUACAAUAACAAAGUUCAACACCCAAAUACCAUAGAUAAGUUCAACAUCCAAAUACAAUAACAAAGUUCAACAUCCAAAUACUAUAGAUAAGUUUAAUAUCCAAGUACAACAACAAAGUUCGACAUACAAAAACAUAAAAAAUACGCCAAAUCUACCUAUGCCUAGUACUUAACGUCGUCCACAAAGCUAGUCGAUCAGCGUAAAAAUCUUGUAAGGCGAGUAAAUUGGGAGCUGCGUAAUACCUCCACUGAGGAUGAAGACGAGGUAGAGGGCAGUAAAUCGGUACUCGAAGAAUCAUGAAAUGAUAGUUAUGUAAUGGCAUAUGAAUAAUAUUUGAUAACGCGGGAUUCCCAACUAGAGAUAGAUAAGUAAAACUACCGAACUCAGUGAAUAUUAGCACCAUUGCGUUGUAUCUCGUAGCAAUUGCCAGUCCCAUAUCUGUUGACAUCCAUUUAGUCCGUGGCGCAGGCUCGCUUUCAUGACUGCAUGUCAGAAUAUGAUCAGCGACUGCAUUACGACCCUCUUCAUCUCCACCAAACAUAUCAGCAUAUAAAUGAUGACGCUCCAUAAACUCUGCAACCAAGUAUGUUCUUACUUGUGGCCAUCUUUCUUGACUUCCAUAAAAAAUUUCGGCAAUGCAUCGGUACCCACAAUUAUCAUCGGCCCUCACAUUAACAUAUGAGGCUAUAGAUUGUGCGAGAAAUGAAGGAAGAAAGGAAAAGAAAUUGACCUGUUCUCCGGCAAUUACAACCGAUUAUUCCGUAGAUUUAGUACGUCUGCGACCACGACCUUUGAGCUUCGAUUAUGGCGUUCCUUCAGUCGGUUCUUUAGUCGGGAUUUUGCGCCUCCUUGACCCCGAAGAUGAUUUAACUUUUGUUUUUCGAUUCAUGAUGUGCUCAUAUCUGGACAAAUUACACUUCAUCGCGUUAUUCUUGGGUCGUCCCUUGGCCUUCACAAAUGACGCCUCUUCCAAAUGUGUUGAGGCAGGAUUACUUAUGUCCCGUAAAUAGUUGGCUGCAGUUUUUUGGGACAUGUAAUCCAUCUUCGAUAAUUUCUCGAACUUGUCAAAAAGAACUUUCUUAAUUGCAAUUGUGCGAUCAAAAGGUUCCUCAUCUUGGUAUGGAAUUGUCAUCGGCUCAACGGUCAAUGUUCUCCAGAAUGGAUGUAUCUAUUGGGGGUAAUAAGUAUCUCCUUCCGCAAUUUUAACUGCAAUUUGACACGCACACGGGAGACCAUGUGUUCUACUUAGGUAGCAGUUAUAUCUGUCCGGAUUCUGUUGCAAUUUCUCCAACUCUUCAUCUAAAAGGUUUAAUGCAUGAUGUGAUACGUUGCAUAUCAAAGCACCAAAACAGGGAUAUGAAGUACCGUACAUUCUGACUGUUCUCCUUCUCUCGUUUUUACCUUCAAUUCAUUAAUUUGAAGGUGAACUUGUGCAUCAAGUUGAUUUUGCAAUGUAUCAAUAGCUCCAGUCGAUGAUUGCAACCAACUCUUCGAUGCACGAUGUGCACUCUCCACCCUGUUUAAAAAAAUAAUCAAUUAAUACAUACAUGUAACAUUUUACGUAACAAAUAUUAAAAAAAAAAACAUGUUGUAUACCUGUUUGGCGUCGUGUUACCAAAAUGGACGAUGUUGUUAGUCCAAUACUUUACAAGUUUCUCCUUGUAAAUCAACCACGUGUGAUUGACGUAUGUUAUCAGCUUGGGAUAUUCCCCGUACAAACUCACCAUCUCACUAUAAUUGAAUUCAUAUUAUUCCCCAGUCUCUGAAUUCACUACCGCUUCCCAAACCGUCCUCCGGAACAACACACCGUGAUUUUUACUGCCCAAGAACUUUGUCGCAUUUGCCUCAACGUUUGUGUUUAUGUGAUAUAAACAUAACAUGUGAUUCGACUGUGGAAACACGUUAGGCAAUGUUUUCAAUAAGCCUAGCUCACGAUCUGUCAGUAUCACUUCAUGUUCUGCUUCCGACGGUAAUAUAUCUCGCAGACAUCUCAAAGUCCAUGCAUAAGUGUCCUCAUCUUCACGUGACAUAAAAACAACAACAAUAGUGAAGUUCCUUCCCACCGGAGUAAUCCCAAUAAUUUCCAAAAGAGGCAUUUCAUAUCUACAUGAAGGUAAUUAUAAUUUUAUCAACUCUUAUUUAUAAUAUAAUAAAUUAAAAUUCACAUUUAAAUAAAUAUUACAUGUUAGUCUUGUAAGUGCAAUCCAUCAGUAUAACGUAUGGAAAUAAUUGCAGAAGAUUGAUGAAUGGGGAUGCGCCAACGUAACGUCUUGCACUGUAUCACUAGCUGAGUUUGUUCGAUGCCAUUUGCUGUAUCCACUUUCACUAAGUUUGUGCCACAGAUGUUGCACAACUGUUUUUCCUUUCAUUUCCUCUCGUCUAAUUUUAGCAGAUUCAUUGUACACACCCCUCAAAGCCGCAGACGUAUUCGGAUUAGUCUGUCUCAAGUGAUGCAAAAUUUCCUUCGGCUUCACGUGACUGUUUUUUAGUAACUUUGUAACUUCUCGUUGCUCAUGAGUCAAGCGAUUUAACGAACAUAUUCCUUGUGGAUAUUUACGAGGAUUAUGAUUAUGAUUGCCAUUUUUUAUGGUAAGACGCCAUAAUCCAUCUCGACCUUCUUUAUAGCGCAAAAGGACACAUGCACUUCAUUGAACCAGACUUCCGGCUUGUUACGACACCGACAUUUUUUCCUCGUCCUUUAUAGGCCUUUUUACACGUCAGAUAUUGUCUGCCUUCGUGGAAAGACUGGCGUCUAAUCUCAUGACCAUGACUGACAACCAUGUUCAUUGCCCACUCAACCAGUGCAUCAUUACUCUCGAAUGCAGUAGAAAUUAUGAAAAAUUGACUAAAAUCAUGUAACUCGGAUGUUUCCGUAUCUUCAUCAACAUUUAUGUAUACUUCCUGUUUUCAAAUAAAUAAAGUAAGCAAAAUAUAUAUUAUUUAAAAAAAAUUAAAAAAAAAAUUGUGCUCGCGUGAUUUUACACGAGCACCGACUUAGGUUUCGCGUGAUUUUACACGACUACUAACAAGGUUCUCGCGUAAACUAACACGAACAAAAAAAAUAAAAAUAUAUUCAUAUAUUCAUCUUCUCGUGUGAUUUUGCACGAGCACAUGGCAUGUGCUCGUGCAAAAUCACACGAACACAAGAAAAAAAAAACAUCAAGUACUCGUGUGAUAUUAAGCGAGCACAUGGCAUGUGUUCGCGUAAUAUCACACAAGUACUUGAAGAUUCGUGAAAAAACAAAAAUAUUACCUUCCGGUCUAUAUUUGUUGGAUCCAUUUCAGAAAUUGAUGAAUAUCUAAUUUUUUUGCAAUGAAUGUUGAAAUUCGGUUUUUAAAGGAUUAUAUGAUUUGGAAAAAAAAAUGUAAAAAAGUAAAAAAAUUAAAGUAAAAAUAUAAAAACUUAUGGUAAAAAAGUGCCUCCAAAAUAGCGCCUACGUAUAUAACCACCCUUUAAAAUUAGGGAUAAUUAGUAAAAACUCUCCAAUUCAUUUACUUAUAUCAAGGUGAAUAUAAUCUCCUUUUCAUUAUUAGUGAGAACCCCCUUAAUUAUUUAAUUAAAUUAAUAUUAAUACAAUUAUUAAGUGUUAUACCUAUAUUAUCCUUAAUUUUCCAAAUCUUAUAUUUACAAACCCUAGCCAUAUUGUCUGCAACAAACCGUCGUUCUCAAAUCUCCAUCACCUCUUCUCUUCUUUUCUGGAACCGAAACUCAGUAGUAUCGGCUGCGAUGGUGGCGGCGGUGAAGGUGACGAAGGCGGUGCUACAUCUCAACAAUGACGAGGAAGACCCCUUUCUCUUCUUUCUCAAAUUGGGAAUCCGACAGAUGUGGGGCAAGGAGAGGACGAAGCCGGCUCUAGAUCUCGACAACGACAAGGCGACGCCGCCGAAUCUAGGAAGGACGGCGGCCUUCCGGUCUCCCCUCUUCCUUUAUGAGGGAUGAGCAGAUCUGCUGGUAUUUUUAUUUUAUUUUAUUUUUUGUUCUUUCGAUUUUGGAAGCAUUCCUAUAAUCCUCGUCGGAAGACCGCCUCCACUAUCGCUGUGAUGGAAUAGAUUGACCUCGAGGAGGAGGUAUUGUUUGGGAGGCUCGUUUGUUGAAAUUGUGUUCGCGUUACUCAAAAAGUUAUAGUUGUUUUCGUUACGGUUGUAGUUGGUUUCAAUAAUAGUCGUUUUUGUUGAAAUUUUGGUGUGUGUUUUUGCUUUUGCUUUUGUGGAUUUCAAUAAUUUGUAGUUGAUUCAAUAUAGUUGUUUUCGUAUAGCAAUAUAGUUGUUUUUGCACAACAAUAUUAUUGUUUUCAUUACUUUAUAGUUGGUUUGAAUAAAUAGUUGAUUUAACGAAUAGUUGUUUUGGAGAUGUUUUGAUUAAAUAAUUAGUUAAUCUUACAAUGGAAAUAAUAUAAUAUAUAAUUAAUUUAAUAAAUUGUGAAACUGAUGUAUCAUUGUUUUAAUACCAAUUGUUUUAAUAAUAGUCGUUUCAUUGGCGUAUAGUUGUCUUAACUGAAAACUAAAAUAAUAUAGAAAAGGAAUAUUUAAAGAAAAAUAUUAAAAAAAUAAAAAAAAAAUAUUUUUUAAAAAAAAAUAUUAUUUUUUAAAGAAGAAAUAAAUAAAUAAACAAAAUUGAAAUAAAUAAAUAAAAAAUCAAACUAGUGAUAAUGGGUAAUGAAUAGUGAGAGGAUAAAUUUGAGAAUAAAAAAAAAAGGGUUUAUCAGUGAUAAAGAAAAAGGAGCUGGACCAUUCUUAUUAAAAUAAUGUUAAAAGGGGUUUUAAGAUAUACAUCCCUAGUGGAGAAAUAUAUUAGAAGCUACUCUCAAGCCCAAAAAAACAUUAGCCCCACAUCCUUCUGUAAAAUAGUGCCUAUACUACCCUUACGGUGAUUUUUAACGCCGUGUUUUAUGAUUUGGCAAGAUAAAAUAAAAUCCCACUAAUCUCGCCAUUACUAAUAUAGGUGAUUCUAGUUUCCCAAAUCCCUUAUUAACCGCAUCAUAUCACACCCAAUUUUAUUCUCUUUCCUUUCUUUCUAUUCUGCAAAUCGGACGGUGUUUAUUCUGCAAAUCAGACGGGAACAUCGAUGUAGUAUACAACAGCAGAAGCCAACUUUCGUCGCCAUCUAUUCAUUCCAAUGUCUACGCUUACUCAUAUAUCAAGUAAGAUUUUGAUUUUGUAAUUUACAGUUUUCGUUUUACAAAAUAAAAAACUAGGGCUUUUAUAAAAUCGAUUUCGCAGGGGAGAUGAGAAUGAAAGGCACGCAAGACAUAAAUGCACUGGAUCCAGGUACGAUUGAACAUACAUAUGUUUUGUUGUUUAAUUAUAUUAAAGUCUUCUGGUGUCUAUGACACAAAUCUAUACAAAAAUAGUUUGGUUGGUUUGUUUUGUAGUUGAUUAUCUGAAGAUUGUAGUAUAUAUUCUAGAUUUUUUAUCACAUAUGAGUGGUAUUGUACUGUAUAUUAUGUAAACAUUAUUGGGUUGGGUGAUUCGUGAAGAUUAUUGUUCUAUAUGUAUCUGUAAUAUCUAUGUGUUCUAUGAACUACUGUGAUAAUCUAUGGGUACUGUAGUACUCUAUGGGUAUCGAUGAUAGGCUGAUUAUUGCUUUAAUGAUUAUAGUCUAUGUAAUCUCCUUGAAUGUAUUAGGACAAUUCAUGGUCUGAGUACAUCCAGUUUGUGCAAGUCCUAUAAGACACUCAAAAUUUUAUUAUUGAAUAAACACAAUCAUACCAAUGUUGAGGUCUUGAAUUCUGAUUCCUUAAUCCACUUUUUUUGGACAUGGUAACUAAUUAUACACAUAUGUAAUAUUGUGGUACUCUAUGGAUACUAUGAUAUUCUGUAGUUGUCUACAUAUUAAAAAGGUGAAAUUCAUUAAAACAUUUACUGCUUUUGAAACUAUAUAGUCUAUGCAUUUUUUGAUCUUCUACCAUACAUUUAGCUUUCCUGGUAACAAAUAUGAUUUGUCAAAUUUGCAGGCGAGACAAUAUUUUCUUCAGUCGCCCUUGGAACUAAAAGAAGCAGAAUAGGGGCCACAAACAUGAGAAGGAGCAUUGUAGAAUAUCUUUUAAAUUACAAGAUGGAAUGAACGAUUAAUUUCUCUCAUUUUGUUUUGUUUCUUGUAUGCAAAUUCAAACCAUUUUGUAAAUAAUAUUAACAGUGUUGCCUAGUUAAACAUAAUUAUGGUUUUAAACCUUUAGUUUUUGGGUAAAAAUAUUAGAGACUGGCUGGUCAUUGUUAGCACUAUUUCGUAUCUAUAUAUUAUUGUACCUUUUCAAAUUAAUAUAUUGAAGUCAUAGAUAUAAUGUGACAUAUACUGUUGCAUAUUUUUGUACGUUUGGUGUAUGGCCUGCUUUACGUAAAUUAAUUAACCAAAUGCCCACUGUUACACAGCCUGGUAGUACUCUGCAACGAUUAUCAACUAUAUAAUCCUAUGGUAUACUGUAUGCGUCUUUGGUAUGAUAUGUUUAGCUACAUGAACUUGGUAUUUGCGCAAUGGGUGUUUAUUGUGCACCAUCCCCGAAUAAAUUGCAUUAUCUCGGAAUAUGACCAUUGUUCCAAGAUAGUCUUUGGUAUGAAUUGAAAACACAAAAAAACAAUACAAUAAGUUUCUAUCAAAUGUUUAUGCACACUUGUUUAUAGAUGGUUGGAUUUAGUGGGAAUAGAUAUGAACUAAAUACAAACCAAACACAUGUAAAAAGAAAAUAACUCACAAGAUUAUACAAAUUUAAAUUUUGUAACUGCAAUAAAUAUUCAAGUACUCAAUCAACAAGAAAAUCCAUGAAAGUAAAAGAAAACACCAAUCGCAAAAAUAUGACAAUGCUGAAAUAAGAAAAGUACUUCUCCAACAUAAAUCCAUGGAAGGAAAAAAAAAAAAAACUAAUGUUCAACUUUAAACGCAAAUUAAAACAGCUCAAAAGCAAACCAAAUGAACCUACUCAAUACGCCUUAUGCAUGUUUUCUUGAUUUGCGUUCCAACCUGGUUGCAACUACUAUACUUCAUCCUCCUCGAUAGCUACACUCUCGCCCCUAAAAGCAAUUAUCUUCAUCUUUUUCUACCACGGUUUGGCUGAAACUUAGGCUAACCAACGACAUCCAACGGAGGGUCAGCAAUAGGUCUAGCAAAUGGGAAAAUUGCUUUAGCAUAACUAUGUCUGUACGACGAAACAUGAAAGUAAUCUUCCACAUAAUUGUAUCCUUCCAUCUUCACUUUGUAGAGCACACAAGCAACAUGAGCACAUGGGAAUCCCGAAAUUUGCUUCAUUCGGCAUGAACAUGAUUUAUUCCAUAUAUCAACUACAACAACAGAUUCACUCAACACCUCAUAUACCGAGUCAUAUAUGCAACGAAAUACGAAAUAUGCAACGAAACACGAAAUAUUUUUAACAAAACACCUAACGUGAACACAUAACGAUUAUACACAAUUAAAUUAAAUAAACCAUCACCAUGAGAAACGGAAAAAUACAGACAUCGUACAAUAUGCAUCUGGCGCCAUAAAUUACCCUUAUAUUUCAAAACUUGAAUUUGCAAACAUGCGGUAAAGAUCAUGUACCCAAUCGAACCAACACAAAACACAAACCCACUACUACGUGACGAUGAAAAUCCAUACCUUCUUGCUGCUGAAUCUUAAAAAAACACACUCAAUUUUUAGCAGAUUGAUAUCUGUGAUAUUUUCUUCACUGGCGUGUUGUAUAUAUUAACGUGAUGAGAUUAUAAUACGGUUAAUCUCAAUCUUGGAACGUGAUUGAUAGGUGAUCCCUCUCAAUCUUGGAACGUGAUUGAUACAUGAUCUCUAAUUUAAAGGGACGUGAUAUUAAUUAAAAUAUGUAACCCCACAAAACGUCACAAACGUUCGGUUAAUAAUAAGGGUAAUAUGGGAUUAUUUAAAAAAAAAAUCCCUUAUUUCAUAUAUUCUACCAAACGAGGGGAUUUAGUUAGAAAAAAAUAUUGGACUCGUAUUCCACAUUUAAUUAAGUUUUGUUUAAGGGACUUGCAGCAUAUUAACUGUAAAAAUUAUAUUACUAAGUGGCAACAUACACCGUCGCUAAUCCACUAUCACCACCACCACCACCGCCAUCGCCACAACCACCCUCUUCUCCCAAUUCCCGCCGAUGGCGAUCCAAAAUAGCCCAUCCUCUCUAUCUCUCCGUAGCCGCCGCUUCCACCGCCUUGUACCCGCCGCCUAUUUUGCCGAUCAGAACUGGGAAUGGUGCCCUAUUUUUCGGUGAGAUUAUUGCGUUCUCCUUGGUCGAAUAAAUGGCGUCGCCGGCCGGUCAAUAAUCAACGUGACACACUCUCUCUUCAUGUGUACAAAAAGAUGGUUUUUUUGGCUUUAUAUUUGACGGCUUUAAUUUCGUAUUUGCAGAUUGCUUCGAGUAAUGUAGCUCCGCGUUGCACUUCAUGUAAUUUUUUACUUAUCAAUUUGUUGGAUAUGAAGCCCUUUAUAUACUGUUCGAACUUGGCUUGUUUUGAGUUUUUCCUUAUUUUUCUUUCCCAUAGAUAAAUUGACAAAUCAAUCGCCAGGAACUCAUGUCAUUCACUUGGGAGAUACUUUUCGAUCAACGCGGGAUCCUCUUGCAGCUACAAUGGUAAUACUUGUAAAUAAUGUAAAAUUUGUCCGAUCAUUUGAUUUAAUCUAAAUUAAAUUUUAUUAUUCAAUGAUAGCGUCUUAAUAAUUAUAUGGAAAACUGGAUAUAUAAUUUUCUAACUGGUACGGAAGAACUUUUCUCCUCGACAUAUUGAAAUGUUCAUGAUUCCCCGGAUAUUGGCUUUUGCGUAAAGUUUAUCAGGAGUUUCUUCAGUACUCCUAUACGAAUUUUUGUAGUUUGCAGUAUUGUCGGCUUCCACGAGAAUCUUCACCAAGCGUCAUAGAAUUCAUUAGUAAAAGUACACGUGGCGGAUUGCAUUUUCCAUUUUUUUACCUUCUCGAUUUUCUUCUUGAUCUUUUUUUAUUUUUAUUUUUUUGCUCGAAUUUCUUCUUAAAGGAGGAUGUGGAAUCUUUGAUUUGUUUGACCGUGGUAAGUUCUAAGUACAAUCAGUUUCUGAAGAUUUACCUUAAAGAGAGGAGAAAUUAACAGAUACUUCGGACUAGACGAUAUUCCUUCCCCUUGUCGUGUCGUUUUUCACUUAUAUCAAAUGCUGUUAGGGAAGAUGCCAGUUGGAUAAGUUUAAUUGCGAUAUGACGACUUCAAAUUAGGAGUUCGAAUUUGGAGGGGGGAAUUAGAAAAAUAGUACAAAGAUAGAUUGCUAAAGAGGAUCGAAAGACCUAAUGUUAUGUGUUACAUAGAACGUAAUUUCUAGGCUAAGAAUAUCGAUGAGAAGCACAGCAUAUUUAGAACCUUUACUUGACAUGAAGGAUGUUAUAAUCGAAGGGGUACAAAACAUAAAUUUUUUCGUUGUGGUUGUAAGAUUUGAAUAUGUUCACACUUGUUGGUAGCAGUGCCCUAUAUUUGAAAUUAAUUUAUAGGUAAUAAGUUAUAACAGUUUAACCAUAUGGACUAGUUUGGAAAGAAAUCCGAAGGCCAUUAUGACAUAAGAGUGUCAUUCUUAUGAAGAAGGACAAAAAUAAAUGGGAGCAAUUAAAAGCAUUAAAUAUUGACAAAUUGUCAACAAAGUGGCUGUAGUUUAGUGGUAAGAAUUCCACGUUGUGGCCGUGGAGACCUGGGCUCGAAUCCCAGCAGCCACAAAUUAUAUAUUUUUGUGAAUUCUCAGUUAAUGCAAUAAAGUUCUUUUGGACAAAAAUAUAUUUUUUUUCCAAAUACUUGAUUAUUGCAAUUUGCAACAAAUGUGAAUUACAGGAAUUGCUUAUACAUCCUAUACCUGAUUACAACAAUGGCAAAAUAAUUAAAAUAAUUUUAAUGUACAGUCCAACAGUCGAUUAUGCACUGUGUAAUACCUUCACAUUAAUUAUAUAUAUGUAUGAUCCCCGAUGGCAAAAUUGCACCCCUGGAUUUCACUUACCAUAGUGACAGGUUUGAAUUUUCACUAAUGGUAUAUGACUUUCUCUCUCUCAUUAAAUAGCAUUCUUCCAAAUAUUGCAACAACUUUUGUUUGACAGAUAGGCGUUUCACCAAACAUCCUACUCACCGGAUAAACAUUGUUUUUAAAAUUUGCAAGCAUUGCACAAAGUCUCGGUUUUUAGGGCCUGCUGCAUGCUUCCCAUCUUGCACAAAAAUACAAUUCUUGAUUUGUGUGUCCCGCAUAAAGCAAGGGCGCUUUACCUUUCCUUCAUUUUCAUUUUGCAAAGAUCCGUUUUCUUGAAUUUUAGGCUUCUAGAAGAGAAUGGCUGCCGCAAACUCACAAGAGAGAAACACGAGCAAUGCUGAUUCGCCAGGUUCAAAUAUGGUGGAGACGUUGAAACAAUUACUUGUUAGGUAUGGAACUCAGCUUCUUAAACCGUGUGAUUCUACAGAAGAGCUUCUGGAAUUACUUCAUGUAAGCUUCACCCUCGAUUUUACAAAUUAACAAGUAAUUUUUCCUUACACAUGCUUUUAUGUUGACGCAGAGUAAUUUUCUCUGCAUGCUUGAUUCUGCCUGUAAAUCUGGCUGUUGAUUUGUGUUGUCGUAACUUAAAAUCAUUUUUCAUUUAUAGGACUACGAUGUUUUUGAUCUUUGAUUUUUUUUUUGGCUCUCAGAAUUUACAUUGUGUUUUAAUACACACACUUCAUGAUCACAAGGACCGGGUACAAUUGGCACUUCAAUCAUCAAAAGAAGCGCUAAUUGCCAAUGAGCUUAUAAGACAUACUGAAAGGGAUGUAAGAAUUUCAGUGGCCUCAUGUAUCUCUGAGAUCGUACGAAUAACUGCACCUGAUGAACCAUACAAGGAAGACCAGAUGAAGGUAACUCUAAAUAUGUUUAGAUGGCAAUCUUUUUUUUUUUAAAUUAUUUUAUUUAGGGUAAAUUACAACCACUCCCUGAGGUAUGGUCAAAUUACGAAACCCCCCUCCUGUUUGGGUAAUUACUACCAUCCCCCUCAAUUAUAAAUCUUCUUANNNNNNNNNNNNNNNNNNNNNNNNNNNNNNNNNNNNNNNNNNNNNNNNNNNNNNNNNNNNNNNNNNNNNNNNNNNNNNNNNNNNNNNNNNNNNNNNNNNNUAGAACCUUCUAGGUAAUAUGGAAUAUACUCAAGUUUUGUACCCGUUUAUCCCAUUCGAGCUCCACAUUUUGAAGCCAGAUGAUCAUAAGAUGCGUUUUUUGGCUUGUAAAUAUCAGAUUUUGGUGCAUCAGAAACUGUAUUUUUGCACAAAACGAGUACAAACUAGAGAACAUUCCAUGGAAUCUAGAUGAUUGUGUUGAAUUUGACACCAUAAGGGUGGAGAUGUAGGAAGAUUCAUAGUUGAGGGGUUAGAUGUAAUUAUCCAAACAUGAGGUUUUUUUUUGUAAUUUGACCAUACCUCCGGGGAGUGGUUGUAAUUUACCCUUUUAUUUAGAUAAUGAUGCAUAAAGUUUUGUCAAUGUAUCGUGUGCAGGAGUAUUUUGGGCUUCUUAAUACUGCUCUUGAGAACUUGUCUUUCAUGUCUGGCGGAGCCUAUUUAAAAGCUGUGUCGAUCGUCAGGUCUAUUUCAUUAUGUCAGUCAUGCGUGCUGAUGUUGGAUCAUCAGUUGUACGACAGUAUCCGUCAAAUGUUUCACCUGUUCUUCAAUGUCAUAAGGUUAGAGAUCCAUCAAUUUUGCAUUCCGUUUUCCUCUAAUUCUACAUGCUUUUGCACUAUAUAUAUAUAUAUAUAUAUAUAUAUAUAUAUAUAUAUAUAUAUAUAUAUAUAUAUAUAUAUAUAUAUAUAUAUAUAUAUAUAUAUAUUCUGAUCUCAGUUGAUUUUUAACUUAAUCGUUGUGAUCUUCGCAUUUUCUCUGACACGCGAGUAAAUUUGUCCUCGAUAUGAAGGUUUUCUAAAGUGCGCUAUGCUCUUAUAAUUUAUGCUUACCAUGAAAAUUGUUGUUGGCUGGCAAAUAGUUUAUUUUCUUCGACGCGUUUGUGUGUGUGUGCAUGUGGUAUGCAGUCUCUUAGUUGCUUACAUGAGAAAGCGAGGUUUUGAUUCCCAGCAUAUUUUUAUUUUUUCUGUCUAUGGCUAAAGUAUCAACUACGUAUAUUUUAUUCUUGCCAACUUUAGAAGCAGCCACCAUCCGGCUAUAUUCUCAAACAUGGUGAAUAUCAUGGCGGGGAUCGUUCGUGCCAAUGAUGACAAUGAUGAAUUUUCCGUGAAACUUGCAAAAAUCCUUCUUGCUAGGUUAAAGAAGGAAGAUCAAGUAACUUCUCCUAUUUUUUUCAGUGUUUUUUGUUCUAUAUCGUUCGUGCCGUAUCACACUGUUUUUUGGUCUUAUUAAAGCAUUUUUUUUUCUACUUCAGAAUGUUACACCAGCUUCAUUCCAGCUGGCGGAGGGCACAUUUAAGAAUUGCUCCAGUGCACUCAAGGAGCAUCUUCCUAAAGCUGCAAAAAGUUUGGGAAUUCCCAUCGAGGAUUAUGCUGAAGUAGUUGCAUCGUUAUUACAGGGUGCAACUCAAGGGGAAAAAAACAUGGUGUGUUUUUCAAAAAAAGAAAAAAAAAUAAAGCUAGAAUAAGAAGAUGCAUUACGUGUUUUGGUUAGGUUGGAGAUAAUGUAUUUGUUGCUACGGUUGUGUUUGGUAUAACUUUGAAGUUGCAUUUGGAUGGAAGGGUUUGAGCAAACGAGUUUUAAAAUUUUAAAAUAACAAAUUCAUGCGUUUUGGAUUGAUUUAUUUGACAAUAGAUUUUAAAACCCUUAGUUCUCAUUUUAAGUUAUUUUUUGAGUCGUUACGUCGAAUUUCAAAUCCUUCUGUUUGAGUCAUUUUAAAUCCAUUCCUCUUGAAUCAAUUUAAUCCAUUUGUUCAAUUACUUUAUAUAUCUUUCUACCUUGGCUUGAACCACAUAACGUUAAAACCUUUGGUGUUUUUUUCAUGCAUAUUUGAUAUUAGAUUCGAUCACCAGAAUUAAGAUUAUAUACGACACAUUAAAUGCUAAUGUUUAAGGGAGAGGAAAUAACUAAAGUACAUUUCUCCAAUCUAACGCGCGUAUCAGUUUUAUGUUAUAUUUAUUUUUUCAUACUAAGUCUUUCGUUGAGUUACUUUAAUUGAACUCGUCAGAAAUUUAGAGCAUGUUUGCAUGAGCUUCUAGAAUAAAAGUCCAUUUUUUCAAUUGUACUUCUUAUUAAGUUUUCUUUAUUAAGUUCGGUGAUUAUAUUACGAGAUGUUUGGUGAAAUAUACUUUAAAGGAACUAUAAAUCCACUAAGUUUUGGAAAUGGAUUUCAGAAGUAACAAUGUCUUACGUAUCGAGAAUGGACUUUCCGGAAAUGAUUUAUCCCAAAUGAUUUAAUUUGUUUCGAGACAGCCAACGCGAUGAGUUAAUUUGCUUCCAAUUACAUUGACUUCGAUUUUUUUGUUUUUUUUCCAGGACGUUGAACGUAAUGAAGAUGCCACGUGUCAGGUGGAAGGUGGUUCUGCAGUAACCCCACCUGGCUUAACGGUAAGCGAUGAUGUUCUUAUUCGGAGAAAAAGGAGUCGGAAACCGAACUCCUUACUUAAACCAGAGGAGGGCUAUGAUCCUUUGUGGACGUUGCAAGGGUCUCAGACGAGGGAAGCUCCCGCAAAGAAAGGCAAGAGAAAGACUAUUCUUUCUGAAGACCCAAUCGAUGCCAUCCUUAACAAGGUAAUAAGUGAAUUGUGUAGAUCUUUUGCAAUUAAUUGAACGCCAGAUGGCGACUUCUCUCGACUUUUAGUCGUUAACUGUUAGAUAACUCUCUCUUGCAUAAUGCAGAGAUUGCCUUCUCAAUCCACAUCUACAUCAUCGAAAGGGGAAGCCUUAUCUGGGGAAGUCUCUAACUUUCAAAAUAAGAAGAAGAGUACCGCGUCUGACGACAAGGUCUAGCCAUUAUCCAUCUUACCUUUGUAACUGUUAAUGUUGAACUAUUAUUCUUGUGGCCCCCCUCUUUUGAAAGAGUUUUAAUUCCUCUGUUUAUUUUCUUUUUGAUUUCCUUUUCAGUUGGACUUAGAGGGUGUUUGGCUAAGCUUAUAAGAUGUUAAUAGGAGCUUAUAAGAUGUUUUAGAGAUUGUAAGCUCUUCCAAAGUGGUUGAUAAUUUUUUUUUUAAAAUAAGCUGUUGGAGAGCAAAUAAGAUCUUUUUAAAAAAGUACCUCUACCCCACCUUUUUAUUUAAGAUCUUAUAAUGAGUAAACAUAUGAAAUAUGCUAAUUAUCCAAACUCUAAAAACUAAUCCUAAAAAUAAGAUGUAACAACUUAUCAGCUCUUAAAACAUCUUAUGAGAUGUAAGAGCUUAUUAGUUGUUUAAAAUAAGCUUAGCCAAACACCCUCAUAGUUUUACCUUUGGUAACCUUUUUACUGCGUUAACCUGCCAAAUAUAACCAGUGGCGAGUUCCUGACUACAGGGUGAGCUUAAAUUUUCGGGGGUUCGGGGGAAGAGCCCUCAAAAAAAAAAAAGGACCCUUUUUUUUUUAUUUGAUAUAUUAGGAAGAGAAAAAAAAUUAGGGUUUUUUUUUUGCGUAAUUUGAGUUUUGGAUGAGCUAAAUAAUAAAAAAUGGGUUGGAUAAAUAAUAAUAUAUAUGUAAAAUAUGCUAGAAGAAUUUUUAAUUGAGGGAGGGAUCGAGUCCACCCUAGCUGGACUCGCCCCUGAAUUUAACUGAAAGGUUGCAAAUUAUUUUUGGCAUUCCCAUAAAUUCAAACCAAAUCUUUUGGUAUUGGCAACCUCCGGAAAUAAAGUGCGCAAACAGGGUUACGUGCCAGCACACUGAAUUUGAGGGAAUGUAAUUUCGGAAAUGCCAAGAGAGAAUACGUAGUUCCGCUAUAAAGGGAAUUACGUUCUUAGUUCUUUGAUUUCUUUUUUUGUUUUUCAAAUAUGGGGUGUAUUUCGAUAUUUACACGUGUCAAAAGGAAUUAUGUUUUUGAUAUCUAUAAAGGGAAGUUCAAAUAAAUGAAAUCCGCCAUGCAGAAUAAUGCUCCGGGCCUGUGAUUCUCUCGUUUGUUUUAAUGCGACAUCUUUAAUGUGUCAAAUAUUGUGGGUCACGUUUUGGAUAAUUCCCACGCACUAAUAACAUGCAUGUUUGUGCAUAUAUUUUAUGUUUACCCAUACGUCAUUUGUGUAUCUAUAAAAUCAUAUUAAGCUUUAACUGUUAUUAUUUAGGGUUCCGAGGUAAAGGGCGCAAGCAGUUGUGUUGGUGAAGAGGUGGUUGGCCGCAGGAUAAAGGUUUUCUGGCCACUGGAUCAGAUGUAAGUAUUCCCGAUUAUAACCAUCUGAUGCAAGGAACGAACUGAUGCCACAUCACUCUUUUUUUUUUUGUGUCCGUUUGUCUUUUUACUGCAAUCUCUUUAUUCCCGAAUCUGUCUCCUUUUGUAGUUUUUAUGAAGGGAAAAUUACAUCUUUCGACCAUUCGAAUAAAACACACCAGGUAAAAUUUCAAACUUCUAUAUAUAUGAAGUUUGUUAGCAACUUAGUUUGGUGGACCAUUCUUCGUAUUUACAAAUACAAAUGCUCCCUUCUUACUUGCAAUAACUGGAUCUUUAAUUUGAAUAAUGUAUAUUUUACAUUUUGGAUUGCACGUGCGUUGUGAAUCAGUUCUUCAAAUUCUAAUUGUUUCGUUUAGGUUGUCUACGAUGACGGUGACCAUGAAAAAUUAGACCUCAGUAAGGAAUGCUGGCUACUGAUAGGUGACGACGGUUUGUCCACUCAGGUCGGAGUUGAAUUAUUAUUAAUAUUUUUAUAAUUUUUAGAAUUAGUUGAAAUAUUUAACGCGUCUAUUUGUGUUUCCAUAUUUAAUAAGAGCAGAAGAUUGAUGCAAAUCCAGGUUCCUCAGCAGAGAUGUAAGCUUCUCUUUGGGCUUUAUUAUUUCGUGUACACAAUCUUGUACUGUUUAUUAUCACGGUCUUAAUCUAGCAAAGUUGUGUUUUGUUCAUCAUUUAAUUUAUAUCAUAACUGACUUUGGGAUGAUAGAAAAAAAUAAUUCUCUUAUUCUGAAACAUGGUCGUUGUAACAACACCGUUUCUUUGAUGUUCUAGUUUUUGUUGUACUUGUUAAUCUAAUAUCCCUAGGGUAAAUUACGGUCAUCCCGGAGGUAUGGUCAAAUUACGAAAAAAACCCCUCAUGUUUGGGUAAUUACAACCACCCCUCAACUAUGAAUAUUUUUACACGUCCACCCUUAUGGUGUCGAAUUCAACAUAAUAUUCUAGAUUCCGUAAAAUAUUCUCUAGUUUGUACUCUUUUUGUGCAAAAAUGCAGUUUCUGAUGCACCACAAUCCGAUAUUUACAAGCCAAGAGACACAUCGUAUGACCAUCUUGUUUCAUAAUGUGGAACUCGAAUGGGAUAAAAUGGGUACAAACUGGAGAAUAUCCACACAAUCUAGAAGAUUCCACUAAAUUUGACAAUGUAAGGGUGGAUGUGUAAGAAGAUUCAUAGUUGAGGGGUAAUUGUAAUUAGCCAAACAUGAGGGUUAUUAUUGUAAAUUAACCAUACCUCAGGGAGGUGGUUGUAAUUUACCCAAUAUCCCUAUGGUAGUAUUAAGUUGCCACUGCGGUCGUGCUUUUUGUAUCUUAAUCCUCCUUUAUUCUGAUUUCUUGUGUUAUUACUUUUCCCCAAAAGUAUGUAUGUUGCAAUCGUGUUAAAUUUAGUGAUGCUAAAGCUUAAAUUAUACUAUAUUAUGCAGAUUGACUGAUCAUGGAACAACGUCUUCUCGUAUGUCGAAAGGGAAAGAGAAGGUGAGUUCCUAUUGUAAAUAGUUUGAUUGUAAAUUCGAUAAUUCAAAUUGUUUGCUUGCCUUUUCUAUAUGGAACAAGAACAACUGCGAUGAUAUAGAGUUUUCUUGAAAGACCAUAUCGUCCUUUUGAUUUGUAGCCAUGCGGCAGAAGUUUUGUUCCUUUGAGUAGAAAAAUCAUGAACUUGAAAACGAAAAGAUAGAUAUAAGUAUGGGGAAAUUACAGUUUUCAUCCUUCAAGUUUGUACCGAUUUCACAUUUAGUCCCUCGUGUUAAAAAAAAAACACAUCUGGUCCCUUAUGUUCCAAUGAUUUAACACUUUUGAUCAUUUCCGAUAAUUUACUGUUAGUCCGCUAGUUAAGGCAGUGAUGGACACACGCUUGAUUCCGUUAGUUUUAACGGAAAUGACUAAAAGUGUUCAAUUUUUGAGAUAUUAUGGACCAAAUGUGUUUUUUGUGAACAUGGGGACCAAAUGUGAAAUCGGUGCAAACUUGAGGGAUGGAAUCGGUGCAAGUCUUUGAUGAGACAAAGUAUGUAUAAUUCACAAAAGGAAACUAAAUUGUGCUUACUGCUGUUCGAAUAAUGUUGUACCAAUUGUAUCAGGAAAUUUGGAUCGAGAUUCUAGACUGAUUCUUUGGCUUUCAUGCUAACCUAAAGAAGCAAUUCUACUCGUUUCGAGUAAAGGUGAUUUUAACAUAUUUUGUCUGCUAAAAGAAGUCUCUUUAAUCUGAAUUGGUUUUCAUUCUGGUAUUCUUCUUAAUUGGUAUGUUUUUAUUGCAGGUUUCUUGUGGACGAAAGAGAUAAUAUUUGAUGCUGCUAUGUUAAGAGCUUAAUCGAUUUUUUUGUUUGCUAAUCGCAAUUAAGGAGUUGCCCGGAUUUUCAUAAAUAGGGGUGUAAACAAAUUGGGUCGAACCGAACAUAUGUUUGAAUGUUUAUCAAGCUUUCACAGUUGUGUUUAAGCUUGGUUCCAUAGAGAAAUUCAGCCGAGCUCGAACGAGCUUUAAUCUUACAAUAAAUUAAUCUUUUAAUUAUUCAGCCGAGCUCGAAAAGAGAAGCUUUUUACAUCUUUGCGGGGCACUAAAUCUGAAAGUUGAUAGAAAUUUCAAUAGAACCAAUCGACGACAUAAAAUUUCCCCAAAACAAUGUUGGACAGUUGGACGAAAUAAUGCGAAUACGGAAAAGUUAAGAAGAAGAAAAAAUGGUUGUUUGAUUAAAAAAAAUGGUCUUGAAGGAAUCACGUGUGUUGUGCAGGGUUGCAGGGGGAAUCAUCCGGCGCCCCCGUUUGUGAAGAAGAUAAUAGGAACAAGAAAAAGUCCCCCGUUUGUGAAGAAGAUAAUAGGAACAAGAAAAAGUAUGUAAAAAGACAAGGAUUCUCAAUCAAGACACUUCUUGAAGUAAAAUGUAGAGGAAACACUAUUGUUUCAUAGAGAAAUAUCAAUGUCAUUUAAUAAUGAAAAAGUCGUGGAUUUUAAUUUAUUGCAAUUUAUUGUUUGUAUCCAAAAUCCAAAUAGCUUUUUCUCUUUAAUUUUUACCCUAGAUCUUCUUGAUCUUCUUGCAGAUUAAAGAUUAUUUAGUCCUAUGUAGAAAAGCUUUAUGUAAUAAUACCUAUGCUACACAGACACGGAUACGCGGACACGGUGAUACGGCAUUUCCAAGAAAAUAGGAUAUAGACAUGCGGAGAUACGCGUAAAUAUAAAAAAUAUAGAGGUAUAUUUAUAAAUUAUAAAAUAUAGGGGUUCAUUUAUAAAUUGUAAAAAUACAUUUAUCAGUUGCCAAAUCGCAUAAGAGAGCCGCUCGCCCUUGCUGCUCGUGUUCUUGGUCGUUGUCGUCCCUAGAGUUUUGGACUUUUGGGUGGACUCUCAAAUAAGUCAGAGGAAAUAUAUGCUGCAUUGAAAAGAAUAUGCGUAUUUUUUAUUAGGUCUUUCUCUUAAAACAUAGAGAAGUGUCCCAACUAUUUUAGAAUUUGCGGAUAUUGCCCGACGCGAGUGUCCUAUUUUUAGCGAAAUUAUGACAUGGCCCGACACAGGUGCCCCAGCCGCGUCCGGGCGUGUCCGAGUGUCCAAUCGUCGGAUACGUGGACUCUUCACCUCCUAGAAGUGUCCGUGCAACAUAGAAUAAUACUGAUAAAUACAGGACAAGUUUUAAUAAAUAUAGGACAUUUUAUUUUAAAAAUUCAAAUUCUAAUAUAUAUACCAUCUUAUUUUGUGAAACCCUUUUUUUUUUAGAAGUUUUCAAUAAUAUUAUUUUGAUAAUAUAUUACACAAAUAUGUUUAGUAAACAUAAACACUUUAUUUUAAAAUUUAACACCUAUAUGUAUCAACUUUUUUUUUUCAAACUCUUUUUCACGGAUAUUAUUUUGGGAGAAUAACAUAACCACUGAUCAUCAUUAAUAACCAAGAAUAUGGAAUUUAUCGGCUUUGGAGGAUGAUACGGUUGAAAGUGAGGUAAAAAUUAAGUUAUACUUAAUAUCGGAUAUUAAAGCCAAAUAAAUUUAGAGUUUUCUUCAUAUGUGUAGGCUCGAAAUUGUAGAGAAUAAAUAUAAUCAUUUAACAUUUAAUGAUAAAUAGAUGACGAGAAUUACUUUUUAUAUUAAAAUAUUUAUAGCUACUAAAAUAUGGGCCCAUAAAUAGAGAUAAAAUUAAAAUUAAAAAAUAAACUACAAUUACUAAAAAUCGUUAUGUAUUCAUCAUUUCCUUAUUUAAAUUGGCAUUAGAAAAUCAAAAUCUAGUGUUAAAAUAUGGAGUCGGAAAAAGGAAAAUAAUAUUUCACCUAACAAUUCUUUCACCGUUUGUUUGAUGCUACUGCCGGAGAAAUACACCGGAUGAUUAUUAACCGUUGAUCUGCACUCAAUCACACAAACACCCAUGUAUAUGCGUGCUUCACCUAAUAGUACUUUCACCCAUGUGAUUAUCACGUGCCAAUUGAAGGGCAAAAUUGUACUUUGAGUUAAACAUGACAUUAACCCACCAUUUUCUCCUUUCAACUUUCAUCAGGCAUGAAUAGUCAACCAUCGCUGGCCUCCAUUUCUCUACACCAUUUUUUUUUCUUUUUUUCAGACUCCAUUCAUUUUCUUUCUCUCGCAUUUUUUUACUGUCCUUGAGCAAAGAUGGAGUGAUUCUUGAUUCUUGAUUUUUGAUUUUUGAUUCUCAACCUGAAGAAUUGUUCUGAAAACCAAUUCGAUUUUCGGGAGAGAGAAAGAGAGAUGGCGGCUUACGCAGCUCUACUUUCUCUCAGGCAUAUCAUCGAACAGCUUCAGCAUCACCCUCGCCCUCCUAUUUGUCUUGACCAAAACCAGGUCCAAUCUCUCACCGACAACCUCAAUUUCUUGCAAGAGUUUCUUGAGCAGGGAUAUCCUUGUGUUGGCAGCGGCAAAGAAGCAAUUGGUGUUUUUGAAAGUCGAAUUGCAGAUGCAGCUCAUGCAGCCGAAGAUCUAAUCGAAACCCGGGUUGUUGAUCAAAUUCUUGCUGAAUCGACGGCUCAAGCGUCGAAAGAUAUAACCGAAACCUGGGUUGGUGAUCAAAUCCUUGGUGGAUCAAGAAAAACGAAGAAUAGUAGAAUGCAAGAUCGUCUGCGCAGGAUUUUGUCGACUUUUUGUGGUGCUGGUUCAUCAAGAUCUCCUUCAACGAGGCAGAAUGUCGUAGCUGGUUUAGAUCUCGAUAAGGUGAUCCAAGACAUGGGUUUAAUCAAGAAAGAUGUGAUGGAGAUUAAAGAGAAGAAUAUUGGAAUAAUCGAAGAUCAUCUGCACAUAAAUUCUUCAACUCUUGCUGGUGCUGCUUCAUCAAGGUCUCAUUUAACAACGAGGCGGGAUGCCGUGGUUGGUCUUGACGAGCUCUUGAUUGAAGUAAUGGAUAAGCUCACUGGACAACAAUCUAAUCUCCGCAUAAUCCCGAUUGUUGGCAUGGGCGGCAUCGGUAAGACUACUCUUGCUAAAAAUGCUUACCUUAAGUUUAUGAAGCACUUUGAUAUUCGAGCUUGGGUUACAGUAUCUCAAAACUACAAUGUGCGGGAGAUUCUUAUAGAAAUUCUUCUUUGUAUAAACAAAGCUGAGAGCCGAGAAACCUUGAGUGCGAAGAGCGAAGGUGAAUUAGGUGUAAGAGUACACCAAAGUUUAUGGGGAAGGAGAUAUUUGAUUGUAAUGGAUGAUAUUUGGAGUGUUGAGGUAUGGGAUAAAGUGCAAAUCUUCUUUCCGGACAAUGGUCAAGGAAGUAGAGUAAUGAUAACCACUAGGCUGUCGAACGUUGCUUCGAUUGGCUCUCAUGGCGUUGUGAUGGGUUUCUUAAAUGAGGAUAAGAGUUGGGAUCUACUGUGCAGAUCUGUAUUUAAAGAAGAAAAAGAUUGCUCUCCUGAAUUGGAGGAAAUAGGAAAGAAGAUUGCCAAAAAUUGCGAAGGACUUCCUUUGUCAAUAGUUGUGAUUGGAGGACACCUAGCGAAGUCUAAGCGCACAAGAGAACAUUGGGAAUAUAUUUCAGAAAACAUAAAAAAAAUUGUGAAUUCGGAAGACGAUGAACGUUGCUUAAAAGUAUUACAAUUGAGUUAUAACCAUUUGCCGGUACAUCUAAAGCCAUGUUUUCUUUAUAUGGGAGUAUUUCCUGAGGACAAAAAGAUCCGUGUCUCGUGGCUCGUAAAACUAUGGGUUUCUGAAGGAUUUGUGAAACCAAUUAACGGCAAAAGUUUGGACGUGGUUUCGAGAGAGUACUUGCAGGAGCUUUGUGAUAGAAACAUGAUUUUAGUUCAUGAAAGGGGGUCUUAUGGAAAUAUCAAGUUUUGCAAAAUCCAUGAUCUCUUGAGGGAACUAUGCUUACGAGAAGCUGAGAGAGAGGAGUUCCUUUAUGUCAAAAGACCGCAUGAACUUACCAUUCCACAGGGCAUAAAUACCCAACGCCGCAUUGGUAUUCAUCAACGCAUGUCGGAGAAGGAUUAUCACCCUUAUCCAGUCCUUCGUACGUUGCAAGAUGUGCCUCUUGUUCGUUCUUUGAUUUGCAAUUUUGAAGAACGUUUACCAUUACUUGAUUUUAGAUUGUUGAGGGUGCUGAAAGUCGAUGAUAAUUUACUUAUCGAUAACAUCAUACAAUAUGAAUAUUUCGUGGAAGUUGUCUUUCGGCUAGUUAACCUGAGGUUCAUUGCUAUCCGAUCUGAUGUGCCUAUAAGUUCCGUAUUUCCUUCAUUCAAUCUCCUUUGGAAUCUACAGACUCUAGUUGUAAAUGGUGGCUGGGACGUUGUUGCACCAUGUGAAAUUUGGAACAUGACUCAACUUAAGCAUGUUCAUUUCGAUGUACUUGAGCUGCCUGAUCCUCCUAUUGGUGGGAAAGAUGACGAGUUUAUUUUGGGGAACCUACAGACGCUCACUGAUAUAAGAAAUUUCAAAUGUGAAGAAGAGGUGGUCAAGAGAAUCCCCAAUAUCAAUAAAUUACAAAUAAGUUACUUUGUGGAACCUCAGGGAUUUUUGAGUUACCGUGUCGACAAUCUUGGCCAUCUACAUAAACUCGAGUCCUUGCGUUUCUACAUUUAUUCCCUAAAAAUGCGAUCCGUGAAUGAUAUGGUGCAGAAUUUCAUCCUCCCUAAUUCCCUCAAGAAGUUGACUUUGAUGGGGACCUGUCUCAAAUGGGAAGACAUGAAGUUAAAGAUAGGUUUGUUACCCAAUCUUCAAGUCCUCAAACUGGAGAAAGAAUCAUUUGUUGGACACAAGUGGGAAACAAUUGAAGGGCAAUUCUGUAACCUUAAAGUCUUGCUAAUCAGCUUGUGCCGUGACCUGCAGUGGUGGACAACAGACAACAACCACUUUCCACGCCUUGAGCAUCUUCAUCUUCAGGGCUUGCAUAAGUUGAAGGAGAUCCCUUCAUGUAUUGGAGAAAUAUCAACGCUUCAAUCGAUUCAGUUGCUUCGUUGUAGCGACGAAGCUGUCAUUUCUGCUAAACAAAUAUUGAAGGAACAAGAGGAUUUCGGCAAUGUAGACCUUCGACUCGUACAUCAAUGAUAGUCCCAACUUUCAAGUUGAAUCUUGGUGAGAACUCAAUCUUCAUAACAUGAUCCUUUUGCUACUGAUCAACCUCAACAUAUAUAUAUAUAUAUAUAUAUAUAUAUAUAUAUAUAUAUAUAUAUAUAUAUAUAUAUAUAUAUAUAUAUAUAUCCGGCCUACUCAUUUUNNNNNNNNNNNNNNNNNNNNNNNNNNNNNNNNNNNNNNNNNNNNNNNNNNNNNNNNNNNNNNNNNNNNNNNNNNNNNNNNNNNNNNNNNNNNNNNNNNNNNNNNNNNNNNNNNNNNNNNNNNNNNNNNNNNNNNNNNNNNNNNNNNNNNNNNNNNNNNNNNNNNNNNNNNNNNNNNNNNNNNNNNNNNNNNNNNNNNNNNNNNNNNNNNNNNNNNNNNNNNNNNNNNNNNNNNNNNNNNNNNNNNNNNNNNNNNNNNNNNNNNNNNNNNNNNNNNNNNNNNNNNNNNNNNNNNNNNNNNNNNNNNNNNNNNNNNNNNNNNNNNNNNNNNNNNNNNNNNNNNNNNNNNNNNNNNNNNNNNNNNNNNNNNNNNNNNNNNNNNNNNNNNNNNNNNNNNNNNNNNNNNNNNNNNNNNNNNNNNNNNNNNNNNNNNNNNNNNNNNNNNNNNNNNNNNNNNNNNNNNNNNNNNNNNNNNNNNNNNNNNNNNNNNNNNNNNNNNNNNNNNNNNNNNNNNNNNNNNNNNNNNNNNNNNNNNNNNNNNNNNNNNNNNNNNNNNNNNNNNNNNNNNNNNNNNNNNNNNNNNNNNNNNNNNNNNNNNNNNNNNNNNNNNNNNNNNNNNNNNNNNNNNNNNNNNNNNNNNNNNNNNNNNNNNNNNNNNNNNNNNNNNNNNNNNNNNNNNNNNNNNNNNNNNNNNNNNNNNNNNNNNNNNNNNNNNNNNNNNNNNNNNNNNNNNNNNNNNNNNNNNNNNNNNNNNNNNNNNNNNNNNNNNNNNNNNNNNNNNNNNNNNNNNNNNNNNNNNNNNNNNNNNNNNNNNNNNNNNNNNNNNNNNNNNNNNNNNNNNNNNNNNNNNNNNNNNNNNNNNNNNNNNNNNNNNNNNNNNNNNNNNNNNNNNNNNNNNNNNNNNNNNNNNNNNNNNNNNNNNNNNNNNNNNNNNNNNNNNNNNNNNNNNNNNNNNNNNNNNNNNNNNNNNNNNNNNNNNNNNNNNNNNNNNNNNNNNNNNNNNNNNNNNNNNNNNNNNNNNNNNNNNNNNNNNNNNNNNNNNNNNNNNNNNNNNNNNNNNNNNNNNNNNNNNNNNNNNNNNNNNNNNNNNNNNNNNNNNNNNNNNNNNNNNNNNNNNNNNNNNNNNNNNNNNNNNNNNNNNNNNNNNNNNNNNNNNNNNNNNNNNNNNNNNNNNNNNNNNNNNNNNNNNNNNNNNNNNNNNNNNNNNNNNNNNNNNNNNNNNNNNNNNNNNNNNNNNNNNNNNNNNNNNNNNNNNNNNNNNNNNNNNNNNNNNNNNNNNNNNNNNNNNNNNNNNNNNNNNNNNNNNNNNNNNNNNNNNNNNNNNNNNNNNNNNNNNNNNNNNNNNNNNNNNNNNNNNNNNNNNNNNNNNNNNNNNNNNNNNNNNNNNNNNNNNNNNNNNNNNNNNNNNNNNNNNNNNNNNNNNNNNNNNNNNNNNNNNNNNNNNNNNNNNNNNNNNNNNNNNNNNNNNNNNNNNNNNNNNNNNNNNNNNNNNNNNNNNNNNNNNNNNNNNNNNNNNNNNNNNNNNNNNNNNNNNNNNNNNNNNNNNNNNNNNNNNNNNNNNNNNNNNNNNNNNNNNNNNNNNNNNNNNNNNNNNNNNNNNNNNNNNNNNNNNNNNNNNNNNNNNNNNNNNNNNNNNNNNNNNNNNNNNNNNNNNNNNNNNNNNNNNNNNNNNNNNNNNNNNNNNNNNNNNNNNNNNNNNNNNNNNNNNNNNNNNNNNNNNNNNNNNNNNNNNNNNNNNNNNNNNNNNNNNNNNNNNNNNNNNNNNNNNNNNNNNNNNNNNNNNNNNNNNNNNNNNNNNNNNNNNNNNNNNNNNNNNNNNNNNNNNNNNNNNNNNNNNNNNNNNNNNNNNNNNNNNNNNNNNNNNNNNNNNNNNNNNNNNNNNNNNNNNNNNNNNNNNNNNNNNNNNNNNNNNNNNNNNNNNNNNNNNNNNNNNNNNNNNNNNNNNNNNNNNNNNNNNNNNNNNNNNNNNNNCUCUAACGGGUUAAUGUAUUGGAUACAUCAUUCCGGUGGGGUUUUAAUGGACUAUUGGUUUCAGUAAGUGGUGGAGUGCAAUAAAAAGUUAUGGGUGAUUUAAGAAAUAUUGGGGGAGCCUUGUCACCCCAUAACUCCCUAUAACUCUAUGUUAUCUCCACAACUAGCUAAAAGUAAUAGUCCAUUAGAACCCUAUCGGAAUAAUGUAUCCAAUACAUUACCCCGUUAGAGUUUUUAAGUACCUUUCAGGGGGUGAGUGUAAUUAUCGAUACCACAGAGACCUUACUGUUAUUUAAGCUUACCUCAGGGGUGUGGGUGUAAUUUACCCUUUUAUUUACUUUUGAUUGUUCUCUUUUACGUUGUACCGCCUUACAGCCAUAUACAAUGAACCUACAUGAAGCAUAAAUUGAAGUAUGGAGGCCUGUGAGCGGAUCGCUUGUCGCGUUAUUGAACUUAGAUUAUCAAUUUGGUAUGUUGGAAUUUACAAUUCAUUGUUUUAAUGUUGAAGAUACCUUCUUCUUGUCAUUCGAUUUGGCGUGAAAUUUAGCCUCCGGUUAAUUUAUUGGAAGCAUUUGUAUGAGCUUGUACACAAUUUCUACCUUGGUUUCUUUUAUAUGUUUUGAGGCUUUGUGUAAUAGUUGUUUUUUCAACAUUUGAACUGGAUUUUAUUCUUCAUUAUAGGGGUACUCUUUUCCUUGUGUUAGGCCCAUAAGGUUUUUAACGAGGUCCCUUUGUAUUUUUUUUUUUUCUAUAUGGAAUAAAAUCUAUUUUGGCAAAAAAAAAAAAAAAAGAGACUCAAAGAUUGUAAUAUUGUGCCUUUAUUUAAAUCUUAAAUCAUUUUGAUGUUGUGCUUCAGUUUAAUUGAUUUCGUUGAGACCCAACCGCUCGAUACGACAAAUCUUGAAAAGCUCCUAAAUGAUGAAACAUCACGAAUUUAUGAUUUGUUUGACGAAAUCGAUAUUUGUUGUGAAAUAUUUCCAUUGAACCAAAAAGAUUCCGUCAAAAUUCACACCAUAAGGGGAUUGCGUAAGACGGCUACAAACUUCAAGGGAGUUUUGGUCAUUACGGAUACGUGAGGUUUUUUUUUUUCUUUCGUAAAUUUUUUUCAUCUAAUAAGUAAUCAGAUAAGCGUUCAUACAUAGAUAUAAAAUCUAAUUAUCAUUUUUAUUAGUGGCAGUAUAGAACAAUGCCAUGUGUGGUAGUAUUGAAAUUUUACAAUAUUAAAUUGAUCAAAGAAAAGUUUCAAAAGUAGCACGAAAAAAAUUAUUUUUCGUUAAUUCAUUUUUCGCUUGUAUCAAUUCUGUUUGAUUGAAGCGUAAAGUAAUUCACCUAGCACCGUUUAUUAUAUUUCGGACGGGAUUCCUCUGUUUCAUCAGGAUAAGCUAAUUGAAAUACUGAAUUGUGUCAGCCUUUUAUGUAUCUGUUUAUUAGUCUAAACAAAAUUGACUUGUGUAGUUGAAAUAUUAGUUGCUGUACAAUCAAAAUCAAUUCGAACACUCAUUUUGUAACACAUUGCAUUUUCGGUAAAAUAAUAUUAUUUUAUUUUACCACCUUUAUGUGCAUAUUUGUGAACUUAAAGUUUAUAAUGAUUCUUGCAUGAUUAGUAUUUACGUAAAUUAGGUGAUUAUAUGGAAUAUAUGAUUAUGUGAAUUAUUGUAUGAAUUAUGUGAUUAUGUGAAUUUUGUGAUUAUGUGAAAUAUAUGAUUAUGUGAAUUAUGUGCUUAGGAAAUAUUUUGAGAUAUUAUUUCUCGAAUUAUUUUUCAUGAAUUAUGAUUUUAUUCUUGCAUAUGAAUUUAAGUGAGCAUUUUAUCAUAUUUAUGCAUGCACAAAAUUUUAGAAAAUAAAUUUUCUCAUGCAUUUUAGGAUUUUUAAUUAGUGUAGAAAAUUAGAAAAUCCUCCCUCAUUUUUCUUAAAUUUUCGGACAUCAAUACACACACACAUGAUUUAAAAAAUUUGCAUAUUAAUUAGAGAAGACAUGCAUUAGUGUGGUUGUACUUUGAGCAUAGAAUAAAAUACCCAAGCCUAGUCCCGUACCCUCUAGCUAGGCAUGUUUUUUCACUCCCACACUCAACUUUAAGUAGACCAAGUCUUUCUUCUUCUCCCGUCCUUCUUCAUUUCGGCAGCCACACCCCACCACCUUCUCAAGCUUGAACCACCCAAGAACCACCACCACUCCUAUUUUCGAAAAUUGCAAAAUCACCCCCACAAAAAAAUGUAUUUCCCUUUCUUCUCCAUUGGCUUUGAACUCUCCAAAAACUCUAUAAAUACAUCCAAUGCCCAAGAUCAAAAUACACUCUCCACCACCAAUCUCACUAUCUAUAAGUUUAAGGUCUCCUUCUAUUUCAACAAAAGGAGAAUUUUCGGCCAAGCUUAGGAGUAAGCUUCUUCUUCCUCUUCUUUCUUCUUUUUUUUUCUUCGAAAAAAAGAGCCAAGCUCUUCUUCAUCCAAGUUCUUCUUGUUCUUCGUCUUCUUUUCUUAAUAUAUAAUCUAACUCUUGAUCUCUUCUUGUAUUAGAGAGAGAAAAGCGAACAAUUCCUUCCCCUAAAGAGUAGAGGUGAGAAUUCUUGCUCAAACAUGCAACACCACUAGUAUUUUCGGUUUUUAUGUGAUUUAUUUGUUGAUUCUUGCAUAUUAUGAGAUUAUAUGGCUUAGAUGGUGAUUGCAUGUUAGUAUUUUGAAAAGAUAACUUUGUUCUUGAAGUUUUAUACUUUUUCGAAUAUUUUGGAAAAAAAUGCUUAAUUUGCUUAUUUGGCUUAAUUAGUGCCUUGCAUGUGUUAAUCUAGUGUUUGAUUGUUGAUUUGUGAAAAGAAAAUGAAUUUUUGGCCUAGCCAUGAAACUUUCGAAUUUUUGGGGGAAAAAUGCUUAAAUUGCUUAUUUGGCUUAAUUAGUGCCUUGCAUGUGUUAAUCUAGUGUUUGAUUGUUGGUUUGUGAAAAGAAAUUUAUUUUUGGCUUAACUAUGGAACUUUCGAAUUUUUGAGGUAAAAUGU